rnacentral:lncRNA from 1 species
GGGUGCACGGCUACAGCUUUUGAUGCGUACAUUUUCAGGAUGAUUCUCUGAGUUUGGACAACCCAGCCAAUAAUAUACAAGACCCUCGUGAUCCCUUGUUUGAUUUUCCAUCCAGAUGUAGGUUUCCUCUUGCGUUGCAUGUAACCCUCACCAUGGGAGGGGAAUGAUCAUGUAAAUUUAUUUUCCGUCACAGAGGAAAGAAACUGUGCUUUUGUUUAUUUCUCUUGCUAUGGUCACCAAAGAGUGAGCUUUGGCUCGCUCAGCCGUGGUAUUUUGUGUCGAGCCUGGUGUCCCUUGUUGAACUAACUAACUCAUCGCGAAAGAAGAAGCCCAUGAGAUUUACCUCCGCCGUAGGUAGCCUUAACAAGAUUCUAACAAGCUUGAGAUCGAAAUCACUUGUAGAACUCGACAAAGAUCAUAACGCCGUGUUCUCGCCUUAAAAGGAAAAAGGUUUUGAGAACGAUGUGUACCAAAUCGCAGCACACUUCUCCGGUGGUAGUCUGCACUCUUCAGCCAGAAAACCGCACCUUUGUAGUCUCAGUUACAACAACAAAGACGGAGACGGGUAACGCACCGACUCGAACCACAUUUGUUGUGCACAGUCAUAUUCCCAACAACUCUGCCGCCCCAAGAUGUUGUAUUCAUCAAGGAAAAUCCGCCUGCCCAUGGUUUCGAUCGAUACUGACCGUCCACGUACGCCCCCCAUUGCUAGAUCCACACACACGCAAAGGCGCCCGGUGCCGGCCGGAAGCCCCUCCCUCACGCGCACCAUACAUGCAUGCAAUGCACGGCACGCUCUACGUCUUUCUCCUCGGAUGAGCAUGAGAAUGAGCGUGACAGCGUCCGAAAAAGGUGUGGCUUUCCCCGUCAGCGCGCGCGAGCACGGACACGGCCACAAACACACACCAGAAGCAAAAGGCGGGAGGCUUGGAAGCGUUCCAACCCCCACACGAGGAGGCCGCCACGUACCUCGCCCUCCCCCUUCCUCUCUCUCACUCCACUGCUUCUCCCUCGUCCUCUCCCUCCCAACCCCCGGUCAAAUCCAUCCGCCCUUGCCACUCAACCCACGCUCGCCUUUUCCGCUCAGACGCCACCCUCCUCUCUUCCCGAGAUCAUCGAUUCGUCCAUCGACCCUCCUCCGCGCGCGGCUCGAUCGUGUUCGAUCGUCGUGUGCAGCAGUUGGCCGGGGAAGGGGAUCGGAUCACCGAGCGAGGUGAUCGAGAUGGGAGGGAGAUCGUCGCCGGCGGGGUGGGGGCGACGUGCGCCGCCGCCGCCGCUUCUUCUUCUUCUCGUGUCGGUGCUGGCGCUCGCGACGGUGGUGGAGGGGAGGUUCGUGGUGGAGAAGAACAGCCUGCGGGUGACGUCACCGGCGGGGCUGCGGGGCGUGUACGAGUGCGCCAUCGGCAACUUCGGGAUGCCGCAGUACGGGGGCACCAUGCACGGCGUCGUCGUCUACCCCAAGGCCAACACCAAGGCCUGCAAGCCCUUCGCCGACUUCGGCCUCUCCUUCAACCCCAAGGCCGGCGGCCUCCCCGUCUUCCUCCUCGUCGACCGCGGAGGUUUCUUUUCUUCUCCUUCUUCAUUCCACUUCCACUUCCACUUCCACUCUGGGAGGUCAGAUCCAUCCCGUAAUUUAUUUAACCGCCGGUGCGCGUGCGUUUCCACACGAAUGGUUUAAUACACCCACUUUCUCAUUCUCCCUAGCUCAUAGUAGAUGUUUAAAAUCCACACGUUUUAAAAUGGGAACCCGGCACUAGGAUAUGGACCUUGGAGAAUAUGGUUAUCUAUGGCUUCUGUUCAUAGUAUAUAUAUGAAAAAUGGAUUCAGUCUUGGUCAUGUUCUUGGAGUGAAUUAAUUUCGUCAGCGAGAGAUGUGGCGCGGCGCGGCACGGCUCCCGCAUAUAUAAGAAGCUAUCUAUAUAUGACAUGCUAAAGGAAUAGGUUUCAGAUGGUUAGUUGCUACCCUCUUUUCCUUCUGUUGGACAUUUUGGUGUAUGUAGUUUGGUCCUACGUACUUUCUUAACUAAAUAGCACAUGUUUUACUCAUGUUCUUUGAGUGCACAGGUACGUACCUGCAUUGUUGCAUAACUGUGUUCAGUUAGGUGCUUAGCGCAUCUUGCGUUAUAUAAAUCAGAUACUCAGCACAUCUUUGCCGUGUGUUGGAUGGGGUCUCUUACCACUCUUGGGUUGUUAACACCUUUAUCACUCUACUUGCAAUAAAUAAGAAAUUCACUUAGUUUUGUCGUGAAAUAAAAUCAACAAGGGUAAUGCCCAAAAGAAGGAAAUCUCUAUCACAGCACCAUCACCAUAAGAGGAGUUUGAUUAGGUGUGUCAUAAUACCAUUCAGCCAUAGUUGUUGAACAGAGCAGAUAAAUGCCAUGAUAGUGGUACCAUCUUAAAUCCAUCAUCUUCCUAUCUUAUUUGGGUACCAACUUAAAUCCUCUCUCUCCUAUACUUCUUAACUGUGUUAACCUCACAGGCUAGCACUGUUUUCAGUCAUUACCCAGAACAGUCGUGAUUGAAUUCUUUGCAACGUGCAGACUGCUACUUCACAACCAAGGGGUGGAACGCGCAGACGGCGGGAGCGGCGGCGGUGCUCGUCGCCGACGACAGGGCAGAGCCCCUCAUCACAAUGGACACCCCAGAGUCCAGCGGCAAGGAGCACCUGGAGAACAUCACCGUGCCCUCAGCCCUGGUCUCCAAGCGCUUCGGCGACGACCUGAAGACCGCCCUCGAGAACGGCGACAUGGUGAACGUGCUCCUGGACUGGCGGGAAUCCCUCCCGCACCCGGACGAGCGCGUGGAGUACGAGUUCUGGACCAACAGCAACGACGAGUGCGGCGCGAAAUGCGACAUGCAGAUGAGCUUCGUCCGGGACUUCCGGGGCGUGGCGCAGGUGCUGGAGCAGCGCGGCUACACCCAGUUCGCGCCGCACUACAUCACCUGGUACUGCCCGGAGGCCUUCGUCCUGAGCGCGCAGUGCAGGUCGCAGUGCAUCAACCACGGCCGCUACUGCGCCCCCGACCCGGAGCAGGACUUCACCACCGGGUAUGAUGGGAAGGACGUCGUGGUGCAGAACUUGAUCCAGAUCUGCCUCUUCAAGGUCGCCAACGAGAGCCGCAAGCCGUGGCUGUGGUGGGACUAUGUGCACGACUUCGCCAUCCGGUGCCCCAUGAAGGAGAAGAAGUACACCACCGAUUGCGCUCAUGGUGUCAUCAAGUCCCUUGGUGCGUGCGGUUUUACUCUGCUCACUGGUGUCAAAAACGCUCUUAUAUUAUGGGACGGAGGGAGUACUGUCUAUUGUUUGCAGUGAUGAGUCAUGAUUGACCAUUUGUUUAUGUGUCCGGGUUUUUUGACAGGAAUGGACAUUGACAAGAUUACCCAGUGCGUCGGAGACCCCGACGCCGAUGAGGACAACCCGGUGCUCAAGGCGGAGCAAGAUGCUCAAGUGAGUCUCUUGAUGAUAAACUCAUCAGCCAUAGCAGAUUCGUUGGUUGAUGGCAGACUCAUGUUUAUGCCUUUGAUCAUUCAGAUUGGUCAUGGUGCUCGAGGGGAUGUUACCAUACUGCCGACUUUCGUCGUCAACAACAGACAGUACAGAGGUGCGUCCACUCUCCCAGUUUACAUUUCUUUUCAGCUCAAUGCUGUUUAUAUAUGUUUUACUUUUCUUUUUGAACGUGUGUUUAUUUUAUUUUCUGUUUAGGGAAACUGGAUAAAAGGGCUGUGCUCCGAGCGAUAUGUUCGGGAUUCGAGGAGACGACCGAACCCGAUAUCUGUUUGACUCAAGGUUUGUGGAUUUGCACCUUUUUUGUUGUUCUUGAAUAAACCUACCUGGAUUUUAUUCUUCAUAGUUUAUGAUUUUUGGGCUUCAUAUAUUGUGCAUAGAUAUACAAACAAACCAGUGCUUGGAAAACAAUGGAGGUUGCUGGCUGGACAAAAAUACUAAUUUCACUGCAUGCAAGGUAGUGAACUUCACUGGAAAAAAUGCUGCUCACAUUGUUUACCUCACCCAUAUUCUAAUUAAUCUCAUGGGUAACAUCUCCUAGGAUACCUUCCGUGGGCGGGUUUGCGAGUGCCCGGUUGUCAAUGGCGUCAAGUUCGUUGGCGACGGGUACACCCACUGUGAAGGUAAACUUGUUUCUUCAAUGAAUCAAAAUGAUCUUCAUUCAAGCUACCCUUUUUAUGCGUUCAUGGGUUUGGCAGCUUCUGGUGUUGGUCGAUGCCAAAUCAACAACGGAGGCUGCUGGAAGGAGACCAGGAACGGCAAGUCUGUCUCCGCGUGCUCGGUAAGAUCAUCUCUUUCAGAUUGCAGUUUUCUUUAUCAUAGCUUCAGUGUGCGGUACAAACUGAAUUUUGGAAAUCUACAGAAUGAGCAAGCUAAGGGCUGCAAAUGUCCGCAAGGCUUCAAGGGUGAUGGCAUACACGGUUGCGAAGGUACCGCCAUUAGAAACAUUGUUCUGCAACCAUGUUUGUGUAUUCUGAAGUAAUUUUUCAUAUCUAAUAAAUAUCUCUCUGCUUGGCGCUUGCAGAUGUUGAUGAGUGCAAAGAGAGGCUCUUCUGCCAGUGCAAGGACUGCAGCUGCGAGAACACAUGGGGAAGCUACGAGUGUGGCUGCGGUGGUAGCAACAUGCUGUACAUGAGAGAGCAUGACACUUGCAUCAGUGAGUUGCCUAGCCUGAAUUUCCUUUGGGACCUCGCUAUUUCUCAUUGCAAGGUGGUAAUGUGGAAUGUGCUACUUGCACCUUCAAACAGUGCUUUCUUUGUCUAUAACAACGUGCUAAUUCGACGCAUUUUCCGAUAUCUGCGCAGGCAAGGUCGCGACUUCGUCGGUGGGCUGGGGGUUCAUGUGGGUCAUCUUCUUCGGCCUCGGCUUCGCCGGAGUGGGAGCAUACGCCGUCUACAAAUAUCGGCUACGGGUAAAAUGCUCAAACAUGAUCGUGGUCACUCUAUUCUGCAAAAGACUUUGCACUGAUUUAUGUGAGACAUUUUUGCUGUUGUCGACAAUGUGAUGGCAGAGCUACAUGGAUUCAGAGAUCCGCGCGAUCAUGGCGCAGUACAUGCCGCUGGAGAACCAGGAGACGUCGAGCCACCAACGGCACGUGGACCACGCCGACAUCUGAAGCACCAAGGAGUUCUAAGUACAUACGGAUCAUCAAGCAUAAGAGCUAGUCUCACCGCGUCCGUGGCGCAUCGGAGUGGCCGGGUUUGGAGCUGCAAUUUUGAAUUCAGAAAAGAUUGGCCGGUUAGCUAGCUUAUGAUUCUGAAAGACAAACGUACUCUCUCUUUUCUCUCUUUCUGAAACUUCAAGGACAGGUUUAGGAUCGAUCUCACCGGAGUUUUAGCCCUCAUUUAGUCAUAAUUGUGAUGCUCGAGGUCUCGUUCAGCGUGAUGACAUUGUGUAAAUACCGUUGUUCGUUCGGACUGAAUCGUGUUGGGUGCGUUUAAUAAAGAGACCAGAAGAGCAUUUAGCCUACUUCCCCAAAAACCACAUGUUGCUUUGCAGGCAGUAGGCUUCAGCUAUCACAGUGGUGAGGUUCUCUUUUUUCACAUUUUCUGAUGUUCUGAUUAUUUUUUUUUAUUAUUUUUUUCUGAUGUUCUGAUUAGAUAGUACGUGCUCCCCUCGUAGCAAAUUCAUGACGUCCUGACCUUACCAUGUAGCAUGGUCCCAAGUAGACAAGCAUAAACUUUCCAUCGUCAAUGCAUAGGUAUGUCUUGAUAAAAAAGAUGAUUAAAUGUUGUGCUCUGGAAAUAGUACAAUUUGUGAUGAAAGCUAAAGACAUCACCGCUUCUAUUUGUGACAAAAUUUAGCAUAUUAUUCUGCACAUAUGCUAUCUACUGUAGAAUGCGUAGAUGGUUCGGUGCUACUACUACCCCUUGUUUCCAACUUAAGGGUUUUUUUAGAAAAGGAGAAAGACUCUCGGCCACUGUAUCUGGGCGAUGCAUACAUCUAUUUUAUUAAUUUUUUGUAUAAGACCUUAUAAAAAAAAUAAGUAAGUCUGAAUCAACCAUAUAGGCAACAUCUGUCGCUACUCCUAUCCAAUUGAUGAAGGGGUGCUGAUAGUCCGGACCUAAUACCGCAGACCUCGCAGCCAAUCCUAACAUCUAUGACCUGAGGCCCCAACCAAGCCACUUGCCAGGUACAGGGCACACACUGGUCCAACGCGUUCUCAGAGGCCGCCGCCGCCAACUGCCACCAUUCCAACUUCAGAGUUGUACUGACGCAUCAUCCUUACCCGGUCUAGCCGUCGUCGACUUCAGCAUGGCGCCCAAUGCCACCACCUCCCUGCGCGCGAACGAUGAGCAUGUCGCGGUCGCCGGCGGUACACCUCAGCACCAUGCCGCUAAGUACCACCAAUCGACACAGCUUGAAGUCUCUGAAAGAUCUGUUGUGCGUAGCACCUGCCGAUCAGGCAUGACAAAGCGUAGCACCCGUCGGCCAGGCAUGACUUGACAUCUUCACCUAAUCUCCGUGCAAGACGAAGCCGCUCCACCUCCUACCUCUGACUUCCAGCGCAGCUCCACAAACGAUGCUCCCAAAAGAGAAACGACACCGCCAUGCCGCCAUCAUCCGAUCUGAAAAACCAGAUCCUUGAGUUUCCCUCGGAGCAGCACAGUGGGUCGACAGUAGUUACACGACGAUGCCUUCAUCAAGGUAACGACGUAGAACGCCGCCAUCUGCCGUCAGCUCGGUUUUCACCGGCAACUCUGUCUCCCCAACUCGCAGCUGAGACUAGAUGACAGAUCGCGAGAUCCGACCACCCAGCCUCUGGUCGGCCACCUCCGACGGAGAAGAUGACCACCACCGCCAGCUGCACCGACCAGAUUAGAUCUGACCGAAGGUACCGCCAAGCAGUCCACCAGGCCCUCGAUGUCGCCGCCGAUCCAACGCCGAAUGACGUGCCGCCACAACAUAGACCGCCUGCCGCGAGGCAGGAGUGGCCUUAGCUGUCGUCGCCGCAACCAUCGUCGCCGCUUCGCUAGAUUUGAGGCCGCCGCCGCAAUAGCCGUUGUUGCCAUGCUAGAUCGGUCACGCCUCCACGCGCAUAGGGGACCCGCACCGUCCGUGAGACACGGGAGCGAGGAGAACCCCCGCCACCGCCGUCGGCCACCGGGCAUAGGCCGGCAGCGUCCUCCGGUGGCGGCGGGAGGAAGGCAUGGAGGGGAAUCGGCUCCGGCGGCGGCUAGGGUUGGAGUACCACCAGUAUUGCCCAAGCGGGGGCGACGCGGGGGUCAGGAACGCCUAUCCCGUCUUCCACAUCGCACAAGGUGCUUCAGCUGGCCCCAACUUAAGGGUUACACACCAGUGAGUCAGCGAGGGCAGGUAAUAACGCAGCCUUACAGGCUGGGCUGGGCACCGGCAGUGCAGUGCAGCGAGAGCUUCAUGAUGCGCCACUGCCAUGCGUGCAUGGAAUAAUGCGGGCAGAAUCAUACGUGUAGUAGACUUGAUUGAGGCAUCCAGUAGCUAGUGCCCUCGCGGUGGACCAGAAAGAAGACGAUGCCCGGCAUUGGAUCCAUGAUGGUUCAACUCAACUCCGAACAAAAAGAGCAGCUCACCCGAUAAAUCAGUGCUCGUCUAUAAAACUCGCAGAGACGACCUGCUCGGCGCCGCAGCCGCAUAGGAACCGGAUCACUGUGCGCUCUGGAGUCUGCACUGUGCGUCGCCGUUUGCACACAUCUCUGCUGCCACUGGGCAUCUCGUCUCGGCGCGCACGUACGCCGCGAGCUCCCGCUACAGUGGCGUGGCGCCUGGGCUGUUCCCCGAGAGCGGAGGCCAUGGCAAGCAGGCAGAUUCCGGCCCGACCUUCCUCCGUCGUCGCGCCGCGCUCGCGCUACCUGCGACGCCGGGCCGAGGGAUGUCCGGUCGUCUUGGCCGUUGGGGGUCCGCAACGGGCGGUGCCUUGCCUGCCCAUGCACGCUGCUCUUUUCCGCUUUACCGUGGAGGCGUUUUUGGAUUGGACACCACCAUGGCUCCGUUUUUCUACCGAUCGACACGCAUAGCGGAUUCGCCCUGCCAUACCUAGCCCCUAGCCUUGUCUUUGGCGCUCCGAGUCCCGACGUGGAUCGGCCAACCACCUUGCCCGGCCGGUUUUCAAACUUGAAAGCAUCAACCUCCGUAUUUAUACACGGGCUGUACUUCCCCAGUCACAUCACACGGGUAAUACGUAGUACUACUAGGAGUGCGUACGCAAUGGAUGGACUCCGUCUUUAGAAUCACAAACGAGCAAGGAAGGAACAAAUCAGAAGAGUAUUCGCCGCGGACCAAAGUUAGGGUUGGAAACCGAUGAGAAUCGGUAAAGAACAAAGUGUGUUUCAAAGGGUUCUAAAAAACUCUGAGAAAAAUUAAAGUAUGCUUGACCGAUGAUGCUAUGUGAAAUUCAAAAUUUUCGAGGUUGAAUUCGGUUUCACUUGGGAGCUAUGGAAGAACCAACAUUCAACAAACAUGUAGUAGUGGAGUUGAUGAUCCUAUGGAGGAGCUGGUACGUAAGGAAUGAGCUGGUACACUCUAAGCCUGCCCCGCCAAUGGAUGUAUCCAUCAGGUUCUUGCAAAGCUAUAUGGAGUCCUUGUUGACAGUACAGUCAAACUCACGUUGUGACCCUUCUAAAGAGAAGACGGUGAUCGCUCUGGACGGUGCCACUAAGCAUGCAUGUGCAGCAUCGGGUGAUUUGCCGACUUGGUCUAGGCCGAUGGAUGGCUGGGUAAAACUUAAUACAGAUGGGUCUUUCGUCUCAAGUGACAUAGCUGGAGCAGGGAUGAUUUUGAGAGACUCGGAUGGCAAGAUUAUCUUCUCGGCAUGCAGGGCUCUGUUCUCAUGUAAAGAUGCUUUGGAGGCCGAACUGUGUGCCUGUAUGGAGGGUAUCUCCUAUGCUUAACAACGAUCAGAUUUGCCUAUUGCAGUCGAGUUGGACUCUCUUGUGGCGGUAUCUAUGAUCACAGGUGAUGGAUGUGAUCGUUCUGCUUAUGCUUUUCUGGUAAAGGAGAUUAGAAAUCUCCUUACUCUCCGUCAAUCUUGUAUUACUCAUGUCUCGCGGUCGCAAAAUAAGGCCAACGAUAGUCUAGCGGCUUUUGGUAGAGCUCACGUUAGAACCAUGACCUGGAUUGGUUCGCCUCCUCCGGAUGUGUUGGAUUUGGUUGCGAUGGAUUGUACUGAUACUAUCUGAGUAAUACAAGUUUUGAACCCGCAAAAAAAAAACAUGUAGUAGUGGCAGUCUGAGUUCGAGUUUAAUUUCACUUGGGAGCUUUGGAGAUUAUUAAUUUCGUUGACUAAGAGCUGUUGAACAUAUGGUUUGUGCAUGUAAUUGUAUAGCUCGGCCCACCUCCUAGUCAUUGUAUAGUUAAGGUUAUGGUCCACUUUUUACUCCAUAUAUACGUGUGCUAUGCACUGAUCAAUACAUCGAGUAGCAUUGCAAAAACACUCGUCUUCAACAUGGUACCAUACCUAUGAUCCUAACCCUAACCCUUGCCGCCGCCGUCGCGAUCCAAUCGCCGCCGUCGCUGCCGCCGCCGCGCCGCCGCCCCUCCCCCUUCUCCACGCUUCCGCCUACUCCACGCCGCGCCGCCUCUCCUCUGCCACGCCGCCCUUCCUGCGUGCCGCCGCACCACCUCCUCUCCCGGACCCAUGGCCUCUCCCGGUUCCUCCGGCACCACCCGCAGCCGCCGCACCAAGCCGUUCGACGGCGCCGACCCCGUCAUCAUCCGUGAUCUCAACAUCCUCGCUCGGGUUCCCGUCGUUCUCGAUCAACCUACUAUGUCUGGAAGACGUACUUCUCCCUUGUGUUCCGUGAGUACAACCUCCGGGAUCACAUCGAUGGCUCCGUGGAUUCCCGCUUCAUGGAGGACGAUGAGGAGUGGACGGCCAUCGACGCCACUCUCAUCCGUUGGUUCUACACCACCAUCUCGAAGGACCUCUUCCACAUGGUGGUCUCUGUCGAUGAUGACGCUCACGCCGUUUGGACCAAGCUCACCGACCUCUUCACCGACAACGCGCUCCGAUGCAAGGUUUUCUUGCACGGCGAGUUUUUUGGGUGCGAGCAGCUUGAUUUGUCUGUUGAUGAUUAUUGCAUGCGCCUGAAGAAGCUUGUUGACGAGCUCCGUGCCUUGGUGAGAAGGUCUCCGACGAGCUUCUUCUUAGCACCCUCAUCGCCGGCCUGAACGAUGACUUCGGGAACACCGCCUCCAACAUCCCUCUCAUCACCAACCCGACCUUCCCCAAGAUCGUCGCGUACCUGAAGCUGGAGGAGAGGAGGAUGCGGAUGUCACGCACCCGGGCCACCCACACAGCCCUCACCGCCGGUACCCCGCGGCGGCGCGCUGCCCACCACCCCGGCUCCCCUGCCGCGGCUUGCACCGGGCCCCUUCCAGGCGCCGCCGCCGCCCGGGUUCCCCUGCCCACAGCCGCCGCAGGCUCCCUCGCCGCCCCCCGUCGAGCAGCAGCAACGCCGCGGUGGCCGCCGUGGCCGCGGCGGCCGCAAACAGCAACAACAGCAGUCGGCUGCCCUCGGCGGCGCGCCCCGCCACCCGCAGCAGCAGCUCCCGCCGGCGCCCUGGCAGGCCGGCCAGAACCCCUGGACGGCGGUUGUUCACGCGUAGUCCAUGCCUGUACCGCGCCCCCGUCCCGGCUUCUUCGCCGCCCGCCCGGACUCUCAUCAAGCGCUUCACGCGGCUCCUUAGCCGUACGCGCCCGCGCUGCCCUACGGCCCCUCUGCGGCCUAUGGGCUGCCUUCGGGCCAGUGGGUACGUCGCGCCGCCACCAUAGCCGCUGCCGUCGGCCCCGGCCCUCCCGUCGGCGCCUUGGGAUCCCCCACUCCUAGUGGCCCUCCACACCGCCCCCACGCCGCAGCAGUACACUGGCGGUGGCGACUGGUAUAUGGACACCGGAGCCAUGGCUCACAUGGCCGCCAACCCCGGUAACCUUCUUACCGCUCACCCCGUUCACACGCUGCUCGCAUUACCGUGGGCGAUAGUUCUUCCAUGCUUAUUACUCAUGUCGGUCAUGUUGCUUUUCCUUCUAACUCCAUGCCAUUAUAUCUUUCUAAUGUACUUGUCUCUGACAUCAUUAAAAACCUUGUUUCCGUUCGUUCUCUUACACGUGAAAAUCCUGUCACUGUUGGAUUUGACAUGUUUGGCUUUUCUGUUAAGGAUGCCCGUACCCGGAUGGUGCUCCACCGAUGUGACAACCCCGACGAGCUCUACCCGGUCCAUUCAUCCACCUCCUCUGUCGCUACACCCAUGGUGCUUUCUACCGGAGUGGACCUUUGGCAUGCUCGUCUCGGUCAUCCUAACACCGCCACCCUUUGUCAUAUUCUUCGGAGUUUUUCAUUCACGUGUAACAAGAUCGAUGAUCACACUUGUCAUGCUUGUCGUGUCAGCAAACAUGUUCGUCUUCCUUUUCGCACUUCCUCGCAUGUCCAUCAUACCCGUUUGAGUUAAUUCAUAGUGAUGUUUGGACCUCUCCUGUUGCGUGUAACACGGGCUAUCUUUAUUAUCUUGUCAUACUUGAUGAUUUUUCCCACUAUGUGUGGACCUUCCCGUUGCGGCGAAAGUCGGAUGCUGUUGCCACUCUCAUCGCUUUCUACUCCUAUGUCUCCAUGCAGUUUGGGCGUCCCAUCCAUGCGUCGCGAACAGACAACGGGAAGGAGUUUGAUAACCUUGCGAUUCGCAACCUUCUCGCCACACAUGACACGAUUUUUUGUCUCACUUGCCAGUACACUUCGCAACAAAAUGGCCGCACUGAGCGCGUGCUUCACACUGUUAAUGACUGCGUUCGCACCCUCCUCUUUCACGCCAACGUGCCACCAUGGUUUUGCCCCGACGCGCUUGCCACCGCUUCACUACUCAUCAACAUUCGUCCCUGUCGCACUCGCGGGAAUUUUGCACCUCAUCACCUUUUGUUCGGCACGCCAUCCUCCUAUGCCGAGCUCUGCAGCUUCGGUUGCCUGUGCUACCCUAGCAUCGCUUCCACUACUCCUCAUAAGCUCGCCCCUCGGUCCGUGGCCUGCAUCGGCUAUCCCCCCAACACCAAAGGCUACAUCUGCUACGAUCCUAUCUCACAUCGGGUGAUCACUUCCCGACACGUUUACUUUGAUGAGAUGGUUUUUCCGUUUCAGCAGGUACCUUCGGACGUUGCGGCUUUGCCCGCUCCCGGUGACGGCCGCCAGCGUACUUCUCUUGGGCCGCCUCCCGGCUUUGAGGGUGCCCCCCGCGCCACGGGUCGAGUUCCUCCCCGACUGGCCGCCUUAGGGGCUGCACCUUUCCCGGCGCCCGCGACGACCUUGGCGUCCCCGACCCUGACCACGCCCUCGGCCUCCCCUGCGGCCGCGCCGCCGCCAGCCUCCCCGGUGGCCGUGACGCCUCCCGCGUCCCCCGCGCCCUCCUCGGCGUCCCCCGCGGCCUCGCCCGUGGCCUCGAAGGUGGCGGGCUCUUCUUCGUCAUCGCCCGCCGCCAACCCGGACUCGCUGCCCCGCCCGAUGACUCGCUCUCGGGCUGGCACUUUCCGUCCGAGCACGCGGUACACCAGCGAUGAGUACCUUCUCUCCGCUUCCGUCUCUGAGCCAUCCCCUCUCCCAUCGUCAGCUCGAGCCGCCCUUUGGGAUCCUCAUUGGCUUGCUGUGAUGCAGGAAGAGUUCGACGCGCUCCAGCGGAACCGCACCUGGCAGCUUCUCCCUCGACUGCCUCAUGCCAACAUCAUCACGGGCAAGUUGGUCUUUCGGCACAAGACUCGUCCGGAUGGCACUUUCGAGCGCUACAAAGCUCGCUGGGUGGUUCGGGGCUUUCGGCAAUGUGUGGACGUGGACUUCACCGACACCUUUUGCCCCGGUUGUUAAACCGUGCAUGAUCCGCACCGCGCUUCAGCUCGCCGUCUCCCGAGCUUGGCAUGUGCAUCAGUUGGACGUUUCUAAUGCCUUCUUGCACGGCCACCUCGCCGAGCAGGUGUUCUGUGAGCAGCCCACCGGCUUUGUCGACGCCACGCAUUCAGACCAUGUGUGCUUGCUCUCCUGUUCCCUUUACGGGUUGAAGCAGGCGCCUCGGGCCUGGUACCAGCGCAUCACCGCAUUCCUGCGGACGCUCGGAUUUACAUCGACUCGCUCCGAUGUGUCCCUCUUCAUGUACCAUCACGGAGUUGACACGACCUACUUGCUGCUAUACUUGAAUGCUGGCUUUACAUAUUUGCAACAACAAGAGUAAACAGAGUUUGUAAAAGUUUUUUUAUCACUUUCAGUUUGUCAACUGAAUUGCUUGAGGACAAGCAAAGGUUUAAGCUUGGGGGAGUUGAUACGUCUCCGUCGUAUCUACUUUUUCAAACACUUUGGCCCUUGUUUUGGACUCUAACUUGCAUGAUUUGAAUGGAACUAAUCCGGACUGACGCUGUUUUCAGCAGAACUGCCAUGAUGUUAUUUUUGUGCAGAAAUAAAAGUUCUCGAAAUGUUCUGGAAAUCCACAUAGCAACUUUUCAGAAUUAAUAAAAAAUACUGGCGAAAAAAUUANNNNNNNNNNNNNNNNNNNNNNNNNNNNNNNNNNNNNNNNNNNNNNNNNNNNNNNNNNNNNNNNNNNNNNNNNNNNNNNNNNNNNNNNNNNNNNNNNNNNNNNNNNNNNNNNNNNNNNNNNNNNNNNNNNNNNNNNNNNNNNNNNNNNNNNNNNNNNNNNNNNNNNNNNNNNNNNNNNNNNNNNNNNNNNNNNNNNNNNNNNNNNNNNNNNNNNNNCCACCGACCUCAACUCCAACUCCAUAUAUUUGCUUUCGCGAAAAAAAAAUCAGAGAGAAAGAUUCAUCGUGUUUUACGAUAUGGAGCCUGGGUUGUUCCCUGAGAGCGGAGGCCAUGACCAGCAGGCAGAUUCCGGCCCGACCUUCUCCGUCGUCGCGCCGCGCUCGCGCUACCUGCGAUGCCGGGCCAAGGGAUGUCCGGUCGUCUUGGCCGUUGGAGGUCCGCAACGGGCGGUGCCUUGCCUGCCCGCGUGGGCGCAUGCACGCUGCUCUUUUCCGCUUUGCCGUGGAGGCGCUUUUGGAUUGGACACCACCAUGGCACCGUUUUUCUACCGAUCGAAACGCAUAGCGGAUUCGCCCUGCCAUACCUAGCCCCUAGCCUUGUCUUUGGCGCUCCGAACCCCGACGUGGAUCCGCCAACCACCUUGCCCGCCCGGUUUUCAAACUUGAAAGCAUCGACCUCCGUAUUUGUACACGGGCUGUACUUUCCCAGUCACAUCACACGGGUACGUAGUACUGGGAGUACGUACGCAAAGUGGCGGAGCCACCUCCGGGCGACCUUGGGCAGCUGCUCGGGCUCUGCCCAAAUACUUCCAUUAAAUUACACUAAGAGACUGAGAAUUAACCACCAGUCUUUGUGGGCAAAUACCCAUAGAGCACACCCCUUUGUAUUUUGCCCCGGCUCCAUGGACGGGCUAGCUCCGCCACUGCGUACGCACUGGAUGGACUCCGUCCUUAUAGAAUCACAAACGAGCAAGGGAUUGGGCAGAAUAGUGUUGGCCAAGAACCAAAGAUAGGGUGGGAAUCGAUGAGAAUCGGUGGAAAACAAGUGUGUUUCAAACGGUUCUAAAAAACUCUGAGAAAAAUUAAAGUGUGCUGGACGGAUGAUGCUCCGUGAAAUUCGAAAUUUCGAGGUCAAAUUCAGUUUCACUUUGGAGCUAUGGAAGAACCAACGUUAAAACGAACAUGUAGUGGUAGCAUCUUGAGUUCAAAUUUAAUUUCACUUGGGAGCUUUGGAGAUUAUUUCACGGACAAAGAGCAUCUCAAGGCUGGCGUUUUGGUGUUCUUCGACUGCAGUGAAGAUCAGAAUCGCAAGUUCAACAAGUCUGUGCAGAAAUCCUGGUGACGGAGAAGCUCAUUUUGGCUAUUUGCUGCUGAAGCUAGUCUGCUCUUGCUUUUAAAUUUGUUAUUAUGGAUGUUUUAAGACUCUGCGCUGAGGUUUGGAGUUUGUUGCCUGUAAUAGCGAAAUCGCCGUUUCAAACGUUGCUUUCUAUCUUUUUUUUUUGACAAAGGGUGAAUUUUAUUACUCAAAAUGAAGCAUCAAGUGGAUACAAACACAAUGAACGCGCACCCAGCCUCUGCAUAGUUAGGAUACACACAGCCAGCACUAACGCACACAUACUUAAAACAUGCCGGCAAAGAGCAAAGUCAUACAAAACCAAAGCUAUGCCUAAGCGAGAGAAAAAUGGUCAAAACAGCGAUCGACAAAGUACUACAACGACAAUAUCCACACCAACCAUCUCUUUGACACCACAAGGACCACGAGAUUCUUCAACAGCAACGCCUUCAAGAAGGAAAUAACGCGCAUGCGCCACUGUCACUGGAUUCGACCAUCAAAGGUCAAAUGCUAGGUUUUCACCCUAAAGAACAAGUCCGAACAUCCAAACAAUGCCUUCAACAAGGUAACGGUGCGAAAACAUCGUCAUUGCCAGGUAUACCAACUCAGGCCAUACCUAGGGUUUUCACCCCGAAGCUUGAGACCGGGUACUCGAGAAGCACCACAUCGAAGUCAACAUGUGUUGUCGCCACCACUUUUCCGUGAUUCCAGCAGCUACAUGUGUUGGGCUAGAAAUCACCCUCGUUACUGCACAUCCAUUUCCUUUGCUUCAAGUCGCCAUUCAUAGAUUGCAUGUCAUUAUCGAAGACGGACUGACUGAAGUGAGAGACACUGAAACCCAUAAAGAAGCCUUCUGCGUGCAUCUCGCAAUGUCGCCAAUUUAAACCGUCAAUUGUAGUCACUGGAUCUGGAGGAAGAAACCAUCACACAGACCUUUCGUGACCAUCGUAAUCCGCAGCUAGGGUGCCACAGUACGUAGGCCGGCCGAAGUGACCACUAGACGGACCUUCGCUACGGCCGAGCACACUACACCAGCGCCCAGGCCCAUUGGACUCCAUGGCCGGAUCUGGGAAUGACACCUUGCAGCAUUCAUGCACCGUCACAGACAUCAUAGCCGGGUUGCGCAUGACCUCUGUCAAGCUUGUCGCCAGGCACGUCGUGAAGGAAAUAUGCCCUAGAGGCAAUAAUAAAGUUGUUAUUUAUAUUUCUUUAUAUCAUGAUAAAUGUUUAUUAUUCCUGCUAGAAUUGUAUUCACUAGUAGAAAAACACCUAAUAGUCCCGGUUCGUGAGGGCCUUUAGUCCCGGUUCAUGAACCGGGACUAAUGGGCCGUUACUAAUACCUCCACCCAUUAGUCCCGGUUCAAACAAGAACCGAGACUAAUGUGCCUCCACGUGGCUCUGUGCGCCGAGCCCAGUCAGGGGGCCUUUGGUCCCGGUUGGUGGAACCGGGACCAAAAGUCCAUGUUUUUUUGGAAAGUGGCUGCUUUAGAGGUUUUGGGGGUUAUUUUUAGGUUGUUAUAUUAGCUAGCUAAUAGAGAGAAGUGUCCUCUCUUAUAUCUUCGUCUUGGUUUACCAACGCUGCUGCUAUAUAUGUUCAUUUUACCCGCUGAUAUGGUAACUCAUGCAUGCUCGCAUACAUCAUCAUAUAUAAUAACAAGUACUCAUCCUACUAAUCAUGCAUCAUCAUACAACUUCUACUCGUUAUUAAUAAUAAGUUAUACGAUCAUCAUCCUCAUAGUCAUCGAACCCAACCCUACAUAAUUGUUCUUAAUACAUGAUUAUCAGUAUCAGGUAGGACCUAAACACCCUUAAGGUAAAAUAGCAUAAAACAAUAUAGACCCUGACUCUCCAUUAUGAAGAAUGACGAUCAUCCUGUCUCCAGUUUUUGCCCUUCGCUGAAUGUUGCUUCCAAGAAGCUCCUUACGAUUGUCCAUACAUUUUUUCUAUUCUUUGAUUGUCAUGUCUCCACUUCUUUUAGAAACCCGGUAUGGACAGUUCAGAUUCGUAGGAAGACCUGGUUGUAUGUUCAAAACAUGAAGGCUACCGUGUGUAUACAUCAGAUGAGGCACACAAUCAUUCGGGAUUAUCUGUUGAAAAACAUAGUAAUAACUUCGUAGUUAGCAAUGAUAUGAUGUACUAGUUUUAGAAGUGUGCAAAAAGAUGUACGGAUGUCGUAAUAGUAAAAAAUCUUACCAGGGUAUCUCCAUGGUAGUUACCGUAGUUCAACACGUGCACUAGUGGCAUGUAUUGACCAUAAUGUUGAGGAGUUCGAUUGUAGACAUUGUAAUUCUCAAGAUCAGUACAAAAUGCGACCAGAUGAUUUUUCUCCUGAUAAGUUAGUUCGGAGCCUUCGGUAUAGUAGGUUCUGUCUACCAUCUUCCGCACAUUCUUUGAAGAAUGAAAAUAAGCUGUCAAUGGAGAAUAAGUUGUCAACUAUUUUGAAAUAAACAAUAUAAAUUACUUAAUAACUAUGUUAAGCUCACAUGGGGGAAGAAUUGGAGGAGUAUCCACAAGGACGAAAAUCGCAGGUCUCUCUUGCUCGAUUGUAGGAUCACCAAGAUCCAUGGUAACAAGCAUACCCUCAUCAAAACCAUACAUCUUGCAAAGUGCUUCCCAAUUUUUGCAACCAAAAUGGGUUACACUCUGAGCAUUGUACAACUUUACUUGAAAAUCCACACCAUGAUGGGUACUUAGGAUAAUUUUUUUGGUUUCGAAACUUUCAUGGUCUUCAAAACCCAUCCUCUCCAAGACAUAGCGUCUUGCAAAGCAUGGGAUAAGCUAGUCGAAUUGGAAAAGAUGAAAAAUACUGUCAUGAUUAAAAUAGUUGAAGUCAUGAGUAAUUACGAAAAAAUGUUGCAGAUACCUAAUCAUCGGUUGCGUACCGUAUGAACAUUGAAGGUCUCCUCGAGCUUAAUGCUGAAGCGACGAUCUUCGUCCAGCUCAAUGAACCUGUCGCAGAUACCUCGAUCGUCGUGGCACCAGUCGCACUCCCCCGGGCGGUUUUCGUCGUCCGAGUAUGACAUUUCCGGCCUAUGUUCAUAAUUCAAAUAUUAAACUAGAUUAUUAAUCACGGGUUGACUAUCGGUGAUGUAUCAUUCCCGAGUGCAUUAUUACAUCAAAUUGUCUAGCACACGGGAAUGAAGGAGAACUUAUCCAAUAUGAGCAUUCAGUAAGCAAAACCAAAUCAUAAAAUAAGCAAAACCAAAUCAUAAAAUAAAGUAGUAUUCAAAUUAGCAUGCAUUCAAUAAUUAUAAGCAAAAGUACAUCAUCUCUUGGUGUCCGUACAUCGUCGAAUAUUAUCACUAAUAUAGCAUCACUAAUAUAACUAGAACCGUAGCACCCGACGGGUAUCGACGCGGGCGGUGGACACCCAAAGAUAAGGAACCAUCACAGGAUCAUAACUCCAGUGAGAUCCCUGGAGAACCUGCCAGGUAUUGUCGAACCUGCCCUCCAAUGCAACCAUGUAGCGACGGACGUGCUCGUCCUCCUCGCUGACACGGUGACGUACCACCUCCGCGGUGUCCGGAAGCCUCGGCACCGUCACUGGACCACGCGACCGCCACCAAACAAGGAUCAGGUCAACAAUGGGCUGCCUCCUCACCAACCUACGUCCCCCGGAAGGUAGCACCUCCCAAUACCAGCCCGGCGAAGCCCAGUCCCGAACAUGGCCCUGAUCUAGCAAGCCUCCACCACCGAGUCGAUGACGACGAGGAUGCGGGAUAGGCAUCACCGACAUCGAUGCGGGAACUACUUCUAUAUAUAGUUAAAUAAAGUAGUUUUAUUAAUUAAAUCAACUAGCUAGUUCAACUACUAAACACUUACUAUAAAUAAAUAAAGUAGUACUUACUAAAAACAAACUACUUCUAUAUAUAGUAAAAUAAAGUAGUUUAUUAAAUCAACUAGCUAGUUCAACUAUAUAUGAAGCACUUACUAUAAAUAAAACAAAGUAGAAUUACUAAAAAUAAACUAGUAUUUUUCUAACUAAUUAUAUUAAACACUUUCUAUGAAUAGAAAAUCUAUGAACUACACAUCUAAAUUACUACACAUCCAACAAAAAAAUCUAUGAACUACAAAAAAAUCUAAAAAAAUCUAACAUAAAUCAUAAAAAAUCUAACAAAAUCUAACAAAAAAAUCUGUUAACAGAAAAAAAAUCUAAUACAAUAUGAACAAAUUAAUUACACAAUCUAAAUUAAUUUUCUAUCUAAUUUAUCUAAAUCAUCUAAUUAGCAUUAAUUAAUAUCUAGCUAAUUCAUCUAACAUUUGACAUUAAUAUCUAAUUUUUCUAUCUAAUUUAUCUUACAGAGGAAAAUACNNNNNNNNNNNNNNNNNNNNNNNNNNNNNNNNNNNNNNNNNNNNNNNNNNNNNNNNNNNNNNNNNNNNNNNNNNNNNNNNNNNNNNNNNNNNNNNNNNNNNNNNNNNNNNNNNNNNNNNNNNNNNNNNNNNNNNNNNNNNNNNNNNNNNNNNNNNNNNNNNNNNNNNNNNNNNNNCGGGAAGAAGAGGGCUUUGGUCCCGGUUGGUGCCACCAACCGGGACUAAAGGGUGGGCAUUGGUCCCGGUUGGAGCCACGAACCGGGACCAAUGGUCGUGUGCUGGCACGGUGCGGCACAAAAGUUUAGUCCCACCUCGCUAGCUGAGAGGGGCGCGCAGUGGUUUAUAAGCCCCACUGCCGCACCCCUCUCGAGCUCCUCUCCACUUCAGGCUUACGGGCCUACUUACUACCGCGUUGCCUGUUGGGCCUACUGGGCCACCUGCGGGCCUGAAUCCUGGCCCAUGGUGGGUUUCUAGUCGUAUUCAGGCCAUGUGUGCCCAGUAGGAGGCACUUUUUUCCUUUACUUAUUGUUGCUAUUUUUAUUUUUUUCCCCAGAUUUUUUGUUUUGUUUUCUGCAUUAUUUAUUUUCUUUUGUUUUUUUGCUUUAUUUUUUAAUUCUUUUUUGCUUUUAGUUUUAGAACAAUUUUAAACUUUCUGUUAGUGCCAUUAGUUCUCAAAUUUGAAAACACUUUUUUUUGUUUUUUUGUUUUGUUUCGUGCUUUAUUUAUUUUAUUUUGUUUCUACUUACAACAAAAUACUUAUUGUUGCUAUUUUUUCCCCAGAUUUUUUGUUUUGUUUUCUGCAUUAUUUAUUUUCUUUUGUUUUUUUGCUUUACUUUUUAAUUCUUUUGCUUUUAGUUUUAGAAAAAUUAUAAACUUUCUGUUAGUGCCAUUAGUUUUCAAAUUUGAAUACACUUUUUUUGUUUUGUUUUUGCUUUAUUUAUUUUAUUUUUUUUUCCAGUUUUUUUCUUUUGUUUUCUGCAUUAUUUAUUUUCUUUUGUUUUCUGCAUUAAAGCAUUUCAAAUGAACUCUGAAAAAGUUGAAAGUUGAAAGUUGGCAUGGUAUCACGAGGGCCGAACCAUAAUGGGCUGCCUUUGGUCCCGGUUCGUCCCACCAACCGGGGCCAAUGGUGGUCGGCCAGGACCAAGGCCCAUUGGUCCCGGUUCGUCCCACCAACCGGGACCAAAAGGUCCAGACGAACCGGGACCAAUGGCCCACGUGGCCCGGCCGCCCCCCGGGGCUCACGAACCGGGUCCAAUGCCCCCAUUGGUCCCGGUUCUGGAUUGAACCGGGACUAAUGGGCUGACCCGGCCGGCCUGGACCAUUGCCCCCUUUUUAGUCCCACCUCGCCAAGCGAGAGGCACUCGCUGCUGUUUAUAAGCCCUGAGUGCAGAGACGAUGAAGAAGAGGCUCAGUGCUCACCUGCACGUUGGUUCGCUUCAAGCCUUGAGGAAUAGGGUAGACUGCAUGGAGCUAUGGGCAGUGCAGUUUACACUAUUCCGAAAGGCUUGAAGCGAAUUAACUAGCAUUGCGCCUCUUUUUUAUUUUUAAUGGCUUAUUACCACACAGAAAUAAAUACAAAAAAAUAUAGCAGAAAAGAAAAAAAAACUAUAUAAAAAACUACUCAGAAAUAAUUAGAAGAAAAAAUAGUUGUGAUUAACUUUACUAAAAUCUUUUUUAUUUUUAAUAACUUAUUACAACCCAGAAAAAAAUAGAAAAAACAAAUAUAGCAGAAAAAAACUAUAUAAAAAACUACUCAGAAAUGAGCAUAGAUGCGCUUAUAGAGAAAAUUAGACCUAAAUUCAUAAUAAAUUUCUACUAACUUCAGAGAAAUUCAAUAUGAAUUUAGGUCAAAUUUCCUGUAUAAGGGCAUCUAUUUUCAUUUUGAGAGCAGUUCAACAAGGCUGAGAGGGAGGGCCUUAUAAACCGGUGUGAGCCCCCUUCGGUUGGCGAGGUGGGACUAAACUCUGGCCGCAACAAGGACCACACCUUUAGUCCCGGUUUGUGCCACCAACCGGGACUAAUGGGCUGCCUUUGGUCCCGGUUCGUCCCACCAACCGGGACCAAUGGUGGUGGGCCAGGAGCGAGGCCCAUUAGUCCCGGUUCGUUCCUCCAACCGGGACCAAAAGGUCCAUACGAACCGGGACCAAUGGCCCACGUGGCCCGGCCGGCCCCCGGGGCUCACGAACCGGGUCCAAUGCCCCCAUUGGUGCCGGUUCUGGAUUGAACCGGGACUAAUGGGCUGACCCGGCCUGGACCAUUGCCCCCUUUUCUACUAGUGAUUAACCGGAAACAUAAUACAUGUGCGAAUACAUAGACAAACAUAGUGUCACUAGUAUGCCUCUAAUUGACUAGCUCGUUAAUCAAAGAUGGUUAAGUUUCCUAACCAUAGACAUGAGUUGUCAUUUGAUCAAUGGGAUCACAUCAUUACGAGAAUGAUGUGAUUGACUUGACCCAUUCCGUUAGCUUAGCACUUGAUCAUUUAGUAUGUUGCUAUUGCUUUCUUCAUGACUUAUACAUGUUCCUAUGACUAUGAGAUUAUGUAACUCCCGUUUACUGGAGGAACACUUUGUGUGCUACCAAAUGUCACAACGUAACUGGGUGAUUAUAAAGGUGCUCUAGAGGUGUCUCCGAAGGUACUUUUUGAGUUGGCGUAUUUCAAGAUUAGGAUUUGUCACUCCGAUUGUCGGAGAGGUAUCUCUGGGCCCUCUCGGUAAUGCACAUCACUAUAAGCCUUGCAAGCAAUGUGACUAAUGAGUUAGUUGUGGGAUGAUGCAUUACAUAAUGAGUAAAGAGACUUGUCGGUAAUGAGAUUAAACUAGGUAUUGAGAUACCGACGAUCGAAUCUCGGGCAAGUAACAUACCGAUGACAAAGGGAACAAACGUAUGUUGUUAUGCGGUUCGACCGAUAAAGAUCUUCGUAGAAUAUGUAGGAGUCAAUAUAGGCACCGCUAUUGCUUAUUGACCAGAGAGGUGUCUCGGUCAUGUCUACAUAGUUCUCGAACCCGUAGGGUCCGCACGCUUAACGUUCGUUGAUGAUAUAGUAUUAUAUGAGUUAUGUAUGUUGGUGACCGGAUGCUGUUCGGAGUCCCGGAUAUGAUCACGGACAUGAUGAGGAACUCUGGAAUGGUUCGCAGAUAAAGUUUGAUAUAUGGGAUAAUAGUGUUUGGUCUCCGGAAGGGUUCCGGAAUUCACCUGAAGGGGUUCCGGAUGUUUCCCGAAAUGUUUGGGUACGAGAACACUUUAUUUGGGCCAAAGGGGAAAGCCCACGAGGUUUUUGGAAAGCGCAAAAGGAAGUUUUGCGGAGUCCAGGGGCCAGACGCCAGGGUCCCUAGCGUUUGGGUCCAGACGCCAGGAACCCUGGCGUCUGGCCCCGGAGUCUGAGAAGGACUCUUGCCUUUCGGGUGAAACCGACUUUGUGGAGGCUUUUACUCCAAGUUUCGACCCCAAGGCUCAACAUAUAAAUAGAGGGGCAUGGCUAGCACCAAAGACAUCAAGAAACACCAAGCCGUGUGCCGGCAACCCCAUCCCAUCUAGUUUAUCCUCUGUCAUAUUUUCCGUAGUGCUUAGGCGAAGCCCUGCGGAGAUUGUUCUUCACCAACACCGUCACCACGCUGUCGUGCUUCCGUAACUCAUCUACUACUUCACCCGUCUUGCUGGAUCGAGAACGCGAGGACGUCAUCGAGCUGAACGUGUGUUGAACGCGGAGGUGUCAUACGUUCGGUACUUGAUCGGGCGGAUCGUGAAGGUGUACGACUACAUCAACCGCGUUGAUAAAUGCUUCCGCUUAGCGAUCUUCAAGGGUAUGAAGAUACACUCCCCCUCUCGUUGCUUUGCAUCACCAUGAUCUUGCAUGUGUGUAGGAUUUUUUUGAAAUUACCACGUUCCCCAACAGUGGCAUCCGAGCCAGGUUUAUGCGUAGAUGUUAUAUGCACGAGUAGAACACACGUGAGUUGUGGGCGAUACAAGUCAUAUUGCUUACAAGCAUGUCAUACUUUGGUUCGGCGGUAUUGUUGGAUGAAGCGGCCGAGACCGACAUUACGCAUACGCUUGCACGAUACUGGUUCUACCGACGUGCUUUGCACAUAGGUGGCUGGCUGGUGUCAGUUUCUCCAACUUUAGUUGAACCGAGUAUGGCUACGCCCGGUCCUUGUGAAGUUUAAAACAUCACUAACUUGACGAAAUAUCGUUGUGGUUUUGAUGAGUAGGUAAGAACGGUUCUUGCUCAGCUCGUAGCAGCCACGUAAAACUUGCAACAACAAAGUAGAGGACGUCUAACUUGUUUUUGCAGGGCAUGCUGUGAUGUGAUAUGGUCAAGACAUGAUGCUAUAUUUUAUUUUAUGAGAUGAUCAUGUUUUGUAACCGAGUUAUCGGCAACUGGCAGGAGCCAUAUGGUUGUCGUUUUAUUGUAUGCAAUGCAAUCGCCCUGUAAUUGCUUUACUUUAUCACUAAGCGGUAGCGAUAGUCGUAGAAGCAAUAGUUGGCAAGACAACAACGAUGCUACGAUGGAGAUCAAGGUGUCGCGCUGGUGACGAUGAUGAUCAUGAUGGUGCUUCGGAGAUGGAGAUCACAAGCACAAGAUGAUGAUGGCCAUAUCAUAUCACUUAUAUUGAUUGCAUGUGAUGUUUAUCCUUUAUGCAUCUUAUUUUGCUUUGAUUGACGGUAGCAUUAUAAGAUGAUCUCUUACUAAAUUUCAAGGUAAAAGUGUUCUCCCUGAGUAUGCACCGUUGCCAAAGUUCGUCGUGCCGAGACACCACGUGAUGAUCGGGUGUGAUAAGCUCAACGUUCAUAUACAACGGGUGCAAGCCAGUUUUGCACACGCAGAAUACUCGGGUUAAAAUUGACGAGCCUAGCAUAUGUAGAUAUGGCCUCGGAACACUGAGACCGAAAGGUCGAGCGUGAAUCAUAUAGUAGAUAUGAUCAACAUAGUGAUGUUCACCAUUGAAAACUACUCCAUUUCACGUGAUGAUUGGUUAUGGUUUAGUUGAUUUGGAUCACGCGAUCACUUAGAUGAUUAGAGAGAUGUCUAUCUAAGUGGGAGUUCUUAAGUAAUAUGAUUAAUUGAACUUUAAUUUAUCAUGAACUUAGUCCUGAUAGUAUUUUGCAAAUAGUGUUGUAGAUCAAUAGCUCGCGUUUUUGCUUCCCUAUGUUUUAUAUGUGUUCCUAGAGAAAACUAAGUUGAAAGAUGAUAGUAGCAAUGAUGCGGACUGGGUCCGUGAUCUGAGGUUUAUCCUCAUUGCUGCACAGAAGAAUUAUGUCCUUGAUGCACCGCUAGGUGACAGACCUAUUGUAGGAGCAGAUGCAGACGUUAUGAACGUUUAGCUAGCUCAAUAUGAUGACUACUUCAUAGUUUAGUGCACCAUGCUUAACGGCUUAGAAUUGGGACUUCAAAGAUGUUUUGAACAUCAUGGACCAUAUGAGAUGUUCGAGGAGUUGAAGUUAAUAUUUCAAGAAAAUACCUGAGUUGAGAGAUAUGAAGUCUCCAACAAGUUCUAUAGCUAAAAGAUGGAGGAGAAUAGCUCAAGCAGUUAGCAUGUGCUCAGAUUGUCUGGGUACUACAAUCGCUUGAAUCAAGUGGGAGUUAAUCUUCCAGAUAAGAUAGUGAUUGACAUAGUUCUCUAGUCACCAUCACCAAGUUACUGGAACUUCGUGAUGAACUAUAGUAUGCAAGGGAUGACGUAAACAAUUCCCGAGCUCUUCGUGAUGCUGAAAUCGACGAAGGUAGAAAUCAAGAAAGAGCAUCAAGUGUUGAUGAUUGACAAGACCACUAGUUUCAAGAAAAGGGCAAAGGGAAAGAAAGGGAACUUCAAGCAGAAUGUCAAGCAAGUUGUCACUCCCGUGAAGGAGCCCAAAGCUGGACCAAAGCCUGAAAUUGAGUGCUUCUACUGCAAAGGAAAUGGUCACUGGAAGCGGAAAUGCCGUGACUAUUUGGUGGAUAAGAAGGAUGGCAAAGUGAACAAGGGUAUAUUUGAUAUACAAGUUAUUGAUGUGUACCUUACUAGUGUUUAUAGUAGCCCCUGAGUAUUUGAUACUUGUUCGGUUGUUAAGAUUAGUAACUCGAAACAGGAGUUACAGAAUAAACAGAGACUAGUUGAGGGUGAAGUGACGAUGUGUGUUGGAAGUGGUUCUAAGAUUGAUAUGAUCAUCAUCGCACACUCCCUAUACUUUCGGGAUUAGUGUUAAACCUAAAUAAAUGUUAUUUGGCGUUUGCGUUGAGCAUGAAUAUGAUUUGAUCAUGUUUAUUGCAAUACGGUUAUUCAUUUAAAGUUAGAGAAUAAUUGUUGUUCUGUUUACAUGAAUAAAACCUUCGAUGGUCAUACACCCAAUGAAAAUAGUUUGUUGGAUCUCGAUCGUAGUGAUACACAUAUUCAUAAUGUUGAUGCCAAAAGAUGCAAAGUUGAUAAUGAUAGUGCAACUUAUUUGUGGCACUGCCGUUUGGGUCAUAUCGGUGUAAAGCGCAUGAAGAAACUCCGUAAAGAUGGAUUUUUAGAAUCACUUGGUUAUGAAUCAUUUGAUGCUUGCGAACCGUGCCCUUUGGGAAAGAUGACUAAAACUCCGUUCUCCGGAACAAUGGAACGAGCUACUGACUUAUUGGAAAUAAUAAAUACCGAUGCAUGCGAUCCAAUGAGUGUUGAUGCUCAUGGCGAGUAUCAUUAUUUUCUAACCUUCACAGAUGAUUUGAGCAGAUAUGGGUAUAUCUACUUAAUGAAACACAAGUCUGAAACAUUUGAAAAGUUCAAAGAAAUUCGGAGUGAAGUGAAGAAUCAUCGUAACAAGAAAAUAAAGUUUCUACAAUCUGAUCGUGGAGAAGAAUAUUUGACUUACGAGUUUGGCCUUCAUAUAAAACAAUGUGGAAUAGUUUCACAGCUCACGCCACCUGGAACACCACAACGUUAUGGUGUGUCUGAACGUCGUAACCGCACUUUAUUGGAUAUGGUGCGAUCUAUGAUGUCUCUUAUCGAUUUACCACUAUCGUUAUGGGGUUAUGCAUUAGAGACAGUUGCAUUCACUUUAAACAGGGCACCAUCAAAAUCCGUUGAGAUGACACCUUAUGAACUAUGGUUUGGCAAGAAACCAAGUUGUCGUUUCUUAAAGUUUGGGGCUGCGAUGCUUAUGUGAAAAAGCUUCAACCUGAUUGGCUCGAACCCAAAUCGGAGAAAUGCGUCUUCAUAGGAUACCCAAAGGAAAUUGUUGGGUACAUCUUCUAUCACAGAUCUGAAAUGGAUCCUUUCUAGAGAAGGAGUUUCUUUCAAAAGAAGUGAGUGGGAGGAAAGUAGAACUUGAUGAGGAAAUUGUACCUUCUCCCGAAUUGGAAAGUAGUUCAUCACAGAAAUCAAUUCCAGUGAUUCCUACACCAAUGAGUGAGGAAGCUAAUGAUGAUGAUCAUGAAACUUCAGAUCAAGUUACUACAGAACCUCGUAGGUGUUCCAGAGUAUGGUCCGUACCAGAGUGGUACGGUAAUCCUAUUUUGGAAGUCAUGUUACUAGACCAUGAUGAACCUACGAACUAUGAGAGAGCAAUGAUGAGCCCAGAUUCCACGAAAUGGCUUGAGGCCACGAAAUCUGAGAUGAGAUCCAUGUAUGAGAACAAAGUGUGGACUUUGGUGGACUUGCCCGAUGAUCGAUAAGCCAUAUUAAAUAAAUGGAUCUUCGAGAGCAAGACGGACAAUGAUAGUAGUGUUACUAUCUACAAAGCUCGACUUGUCGCAAAAAUGUUUUCGACAAAGUUUAAGGAGUUGACUACGAUGAGACUUUCUCACCCGUAGCGCUGCUUAAGUCUGUCUGAAUCAUGUUAGCAAUUGCUGCAUUUUAUGAUUAUGAAAUUUGGCAAAUGGAUGUCAAAAUUGCAUUCCUGAACGGAUUUCUGGAAGAAGAGUUGUAUAUGAUGCAACCGGAAGGUUUUGUUGAUCCAAAGGGUGCUAACAAAAUGUGCAAGCUCUAGCGAUCCAUCAAUGGACUGGUGCAAGCAUCUUGGAGUUGGAAUAUACGCUUUGAUAAGUUGAUCAAAACAUAUGGUUUUAUACAGACUUUUCGAAAGGCCUGUAUUUACAAGAAAGUGAGUGGGAUCACUACAACCUCUAUGAUAAGUAUAUGUGAAUGACAUAUUGUUGAUCGGAAAUAAUGUAGAAUUUUCUGGAAAGCAAAACGGAGUGUUUGAAAGGAGUUUUUCAAAGAAAGACCUUGGUGAAGCUGCUUACAUAUUGGGCAUCAAGAUCUAUAAAGAUAGAUCAAGAUGCUUGAUAAGAUUUUUCAAUGAGUAUAUACCUUGACAAGUUUUUGAAAGAGUUUAAAAUGGAUCAGUCAAAGUAGGAGUUCUUGUCUGUAUUACAAGGUGUAAAGUUGAGUAAGACUCAAAGCCCGACCAGGGCAGAAAAUAGAAAGAGAAUGAAAGUCAUUCCCUAUGCCACAGUCAUAGGUUCUAUAAAGUAUGUUAUGCUGUGUACCAGACCUAUUGUGUUCCUUGCCAUGAGUUUGGCAAGGGGAUACAAUAGUGAUCUAAGAGUAGAUCACUGGACAAAGGUCAAAAUUAUCCUUAGUGAAGACUAAGGAAAUAUUUCUUGAUUAUGGAUGUGAUAAAAGAGCUCGUCGUAAAAAGUUACGUCGAUGCAAGCUUUUACACCGAUCCAGAUGACUCUAAGUCUCAAUAUGGAUACAUAUUGAAAGUGGGAGAAAUUAGCUAGAGUAGCUCCGUGCAGAGCAUUGUAGACAUAGAAUAUUUGCAAAAUACAUACGGCUCUGUAUGUGACAAAUCCGUUGACUAAACUUCUCUCACAAGCAAAACAUGAUCAUACCUUAGUACUCUUUGGGUGUUAAUCACAUAGCAAUGUGAACUAGAUUAUUGACUCUAGUAAACCCUUCGGGUGUUGGUCACAUGAUGAUGUGAAGUAUGGGUGUUAACCACAUACAGAUGUGGAUAUUGGUGUUAAAUCACAUGGUGAUGUGAACUAGAUUAUUGACUCUAGUGCAAGUGGGAGACUGAAAGGGAAUAUGCCCUAGAGGCAAUAAUAAAGUUGUUAUUUAUAUUUCCUUAUAUCAUGAUAAAUGUUUAUUAUUCAUGCUAGAAUUGUAUUAACCGGAAACAUAAUAUAUGUGUGAAUACAUAGACAAACAUAGUGUCACUAGUAUGCUUCUACUUGACUAGCUCGUUAAUCAAAGAUGGUUAAGUUUCCUAACCAUAGACAUGAGUUGUCAUUUGAUCAACGGGAUCACAUCAUUAGGAUAAUGAUGUGAUUGACUUGACCCAUUCAGUUAGCUUAGCACUUGAUCGUUUAGUAUGUUGCUAUUGCUUUCUUCAUGACUUAUACAUGUUCCUAUGACUAUGAGAUUAUGCAACUCCCGUUUACUGGAGGAACACUUUUGUGUGCUACCAAACGUCACAACGUAACUUGGUGAUUAUAAAGGUGCUCUACAGGUGUCUCCGAAGGUACUUGUUGAGUUGGCGUAUUUCGAGAUUAGGAUUUGUCACUCCGAUUGUCGGAGAGGUAUCUCUGGGCCCUCUCGGUAAUGCACAUAACUAUAAGCCUUGCAAGCAAUGUGACUAAUAAGUUAGUUGCGGGAUGAUGCAUUACAUAAUGAGUAAAGAGACUUGCCGGAAACGAGAUUAAACUAGGUAUUGAGAUACCGAUGAUCGAAUCUCGGGCAAGUAACAUACCGAUGACAAAGGGAACAAACGUAUGUUGUUAUGCGGUUCGACCGAUAAAGAUCUUCGUAGAAUAUGUAGGAGCCCAUAUGGGCAUCCAGGUUCCGCUAUUGGUUAUUGACCAUAGAGGUGUCUCGGUCAUGUCUACAUAGUUCUCGAACCCGUAGGGUCCGCACGCUUAACGUUCGUUGACGAUAUAGUAUUAUAUGAGUUAUGUUUGUUGGUGACUGAAUGCUGUUCGGAGUCCCGGAUAUGAUCAUGGACAAGACGAGGAACUCCGGAAUGGUCCGGAUAUAAAGUUUGAUAUAUGGGAUAAUAGUGUUUGGUCUCCGGAAGGGUUCCGCAAUUCACCAGAAGGGGUUCCGGAUGUUUCCCGAAAUGUUUGGGUACGAGAACACUUUAUUUGGGCCAAAGGGGAAAGCCCACGAGGUUUUUGGAAAGCACAAAAGGAAGUUUUGCGGAGUCCAGGGGCCAGACGCUAGGGUCCCUGGUGUCUGGGUCCAGACGCCGGGAACCCUGGCGUUUGGCCCUGGAGUCUGAGAAGGACUCUUGCCUUUCGGGUUGAACCUACUUUGUGGAGGCUUUUACUCCAAGUUUCGACCCCAAGGCUCAACAUAUAAAUAGAGGGGCAGGGCUAGCACCAAAGACAUCAAGAAACACCAAGCCGUGUACCGGCAACCCCGUCCCCUCUAUCCUCUGUCAUAGUUUCCGUAGUGCUUAGGUGAAGCCUUGCGGAGAUUGUUCGUCACCAACACCGUCACCACGCCGUCGUGCUGCCGGAACUCAUCUACUACUUCGCUCGUCUUGCUGGAUCGAGAAGGCGAGGACGUCAUCGAGUUGAACAUGUGCUGAACAUGGAGGUGCCGUACGUUGUACUUGAUCGGGCAGAUCGUGAAGGUGUACGACUAUAUCAACCGCGUUGAUAAACGCUUUCGCUUAGCGAUCUUCAAGGGUAUGAAGAUACACUCCCUCUCUCGUUGCUUUGCAUCACCAUGAUCUUGCAUGUGCGUAGGAAUGUUUUUGAAAUUACCACGUUCCCCAACAUGCCGGGUAUUUUAGCACUGUUCAACAAUAGGAUUGAAUUGUUGUAGCGCACUGAUAGUUAAAGCUCGAUGCAUUCUUCCAUUAUAUGUUCUUCUCGAGCUCAUGGUUCGUAGAAAUGGUGUUUGCAAUUUCUGCUUGAUCUAAAAUUAGGACCAGCGGGUUGUUAGGACUGUACCAUAUGUCGAAAUGUGUGGUGUAUAAUUGCACACCACCCUUGAUCUGCCAACAUGUUUACGUAUUGCGUUGUAGAUAUAACCGGUCCUUAGAACAACUGGAUGCAAAAUAAGUCCCUGUUGCUGAACUCUAGUCCAUCAAGUUAGCAUUGAAGCUCCAGUGCCGCGCCAUAUUAUUCUAAGAUAUUGAGAUAACCUAGGGCAGGCCUUUUGAUUGUGCUAUCAUUUUUGCAUGAUGGGUAGACAGUACCAGGAAAAUCAAAACUAACUAGAACUGUACAUAUGAACAUAGCACAAAGAUCAUAACAGAUUUUGAACCCUACGCGGAGACAGUGACCAAAUCAAUGCAUCAAAAGUGCAAUUGGGGCAACAUGAAGACCGGGCACACUUACUUGAGGGCAAGGAGUGGUCGAGGUCGAGGUUGGGGUGGCGAGGGGCGGCGGGGGCUGCGCGGCCACGGGGUUGGCGCAGGGCGGAGAGGGGGUCGCCAGGGCGGCGCGGCGAUGUGGGUGGCGUGGGGCGGCGGCGGCACAGGGGCGGGGCGGCCGGCGAUGGGGUUAGCGCGGGGCGACGAUGGCUCAGGCUCGGGGAGGAGAAAGGGGGCAAAGGGAGAGUGGUCGGGCGUGGGCGUGUUUGAUUUUUAGUUAGUGCACGGUUCUUUGCCUUCUGCUAGCAAGUGGCAAAGAGCCUACCUAACGGACGUCAAUUUAAGCACUUUCUUUGUCGUCUGCUAGCAGACGACAAAGAAAGUGGCCGUUAUAGGUGGUUCUCAAUAGUGGGCCACCCUGCCUCUUUGCCGUCCGAUGGCUGACGACAAAGCUUCCAUGUCGUCCGCUAGCUGACGACAAAGAUCUGGCUGACGGCAAACGCGCUCUUUGGCGUCAGCUCUUUCUUUAUCGUCAGCUUUCUGUAUACUGAUGGCAAAGACGUUCUUUGCCAUCAGCUAGCUGAUGGCAAAGAUCCUAAUUCCAGUAGUGUUGGCCUCCAUGACCGCCGCCGGGGGCCGCGCCACCUGUACCUAGGGUUCUUCCGCCGGUCAUGUUGGCCGCCUGCCCUAGAGUGUCUUUUCCCUGAUCGCUUGAUCCGGGUUUUCUCUCUUCCGCCAGUUGCAUUGAUCGUUGUUUUCUUUUUGAUUUUCUGAUCUAAGAUCCAUUUGCGUCACCCGCCGCCGCCGUCGACCCUCGCGCGCCUUCACUUUGACUUCGACAUGGACUAUACUGGCGUCUUCUCCGACUCGAUGGCCUUGCGUGCUAGGCAGAGGCCCAGAAUGGUCGUUGUCCACGCCUAUGUCCGCCUGUCAGUAUGCGCUGGUCGUCGUCGCCUUGAUCCGAUCGGGGAUCCUACAUCAAGUCAACCUCCAUCCACUUCAAGCAGGAUGGGACGGGACGUACGUGCAUGGGUGCACCGGCUGUGCUUGCAUGGCGUGCGUUGUGCUGGCCGGAUCCGUGUUCUGUGCAUGUUGGAUGAUUGUUCAUAUAUACAUAUGAAUCAACUUCCUCUCAAGCACGUGUGCUCGUGGCUUAGUUGCAUGCUCAUGUGACGCGACCGCUGUAGAACCCGUCGUCUCCAUCUUCGUGUCUAGUCAUUCCAUCUUCAUUGCAUGUUCGGUCUGAUCAGCUGUAUACAUGCGUCCAUCUGUGCCACGCGACAGAUCUGGCCCGUCGCUUGCAUGCGCCUCCACGGGUCCUGUGAAGAUCGUCUUUGAGUUCCGCACGCUUCUCUACAGAUCGAGCAACGGGUUGCCGCUACAUCGCCCUAUCGUCCCGUAGUGGCGCCGCCCCGUGGUUAUUCUUCUCGCUGCACCGACCCGCGUCACCGAUGCGUCGUCCCUUCGGGCCGUAGUGCCGCGGCCCGCGGUCCCCCCACCAUCUCGAGACCGUCCACUUCAGGGUGUCCCGUGGCUGCACCGACCCUCGCGCCACCGCUGCAUCGCCCCGUCGAGCCGUAGCAAGCGUGGCAUGCGGUUCACGCUGCCGUCCCGAGACCGUUCCCACGGUUGCACCGACCCAAGUUCCGCCGCUGCGCCACCCCUUCGGGCCGUAGCACCGCGGGCCGCAGUCCCUGCCGCCGCCCCGAGGUCUUGCCGCCGUCGCCCCGACCUGCCCGCCACCACUGUGUUGCCUCUUUGGCCCAUAGCGUCGCGGCCCGCGGUCCACUCCGCCAUCAUCGCGUGUCGACCUCCCGUGGUAUGCGUCGCGCCAUCUCCCUUGGCGUGGGAACGCCACCGUCGGCGCCGGUCUUGGUCACGCUGUCGGGGUUCCUCGCCAACUUCAAGCAUCGCUGCCGCACUCCUAACCUAGCCGCCGCCGCCAUCAUGCCGCCGUCGCUGCUCUUCUUCGGUCGCCGCCGCCGCUACCUCCAUAGCCGCCACUGCCUGCCCACCCCUUCGUCUUCGUCCAAGCACCAGCUCAUCGCCAGCAUCGCCGUCAUCUACCUCGACCACUUCGUCUACUCCGACCAUUGUUGGUGACAUCGGCCCGCGCCGAUGGAUGCCGCAAUCUUCGUCGAGUUCUUCUCUGUUGGCCCCUCCGACUUCUCCAAUAUGGCGUAUAGCUCGUGCAUGUCCCUCGCCUACGCAUGCCCGGUGCUGGCAACGCCGAUGCGUGCCUUCGUCCACGAUGUGUCCCCGGGCCUGGCAAGCCUGGUGCGGUGCAUUGUCAACUUCAUCUUCUUCCGUCUACACAUGCUCGAUGCUCGAAACACCGACGCGUGCCUUCAUCUAUGACGUGUCCCUGGGUCUGGCACACCCGACGUGACACAUCAUCAACACCGUCUUCUUUCCGGUGCACCGGUACUUCGACACCACUAUGCCCAUGACUAACUAGCGCCUCCUUGCGCCCGCGGCUCCACGGUGACAUCCUCGGCACCGGCUAACUCGACUCAACAUCAACCACGACAUUCUUCACACGGCUACCUCGACCACGGCUCCACCACCAUACGCUCUCGGCUACCUCGACAAAUGGCACAAAGGGCUAUCGCCUUGCUUGAGCAACCUCGUUGGCUCCCACUCUAGCCACAACUUCCGCGAUGCAUUGACCAUUAGGACUGUGGGGGGUGUCUGUCAGCUUGCCUUUGGAUUCUUCUCCAGUCUCACCGCCUGCGUCGCUACCGUUGUGACUGCAGGGGCAUGCAACGACCAUGCCUCGAGAAAGACACAACGUUAGACACGUGAUACAUCUCCAACGUAUCUACUUUUCCAAACACUUUUGCCCUUGUUUUGGACUGUAAUUUGCAUGAUUUGAAUGGAACUAACCCGGACUAACGCUGUUUUCAGCAGAAUUGCCAUGGUGUUAUUUUUGUGCAGAAAUAAAAGUUCUCGGAAUGACCUAAAACUACACGGAGUCAUGUUUGGAAUUAAUAAAAAAUAUUGGCGAAAGAAUCAACUUAAGGGGGGCCACACCCUAUCCACGAGGGUGGGGGGCACGCUGAUACGUCUCCAACGUAUCUACUUUUCCAAAUACUUUUGCCCUUGUUUUGGACUCUAACUUGCAUGAUUUGAAUGAAACUAACCGGACUGACGCUAUUUUCAGCAGAAUUACCAUGAUGUUGUUUCAUGUGUAGAAAAUAAAAGUUCUCGGAAUGACCUGAAAAUCCUCGGAGACAAGUUUCAGAAAAUAUAAAAAAUCCUCGCAAAAGAUGAAGACCAGGGGGCCCACACCCUGUCCACGAGGGUGGGGGGCACGUCCCCUCCCCCUGGGCAUGCCCCCCUGUCUCAUGGGCCCCCUGAGGCUCCGCCGACCUCAACUCCAACUCAAUAUAUUCCGUCUCGUGGAGAAAAAAAUCAGAGAAAAAGUUUCAUCGCGUUUUACGAUAUGGAGCCGCUGCCAAGCCCUAAUCUCUCUUGGGAGGGCUGAUCUGGAGUCCGCUCGGGGCUCCGGAGAGGGGGAUUCAUCGCUGUCGUCAUCAUAAACCAUCGUCCAUCACCAAUUUCAUGAUACUCACCGCUGUGCGUGAGUAAUUCUAUUGUAGGCUUGCUGGACGGUGAUGGGUUGGAUGAGAUUUACCAUGUAAUCAAGUUAGUUUUGUUAGGGUUUGAUCCCUAGUAUCCACUAUGUUCUGAGAUUGAUGUUGCUAUGACUUUGCUAUGCUUAAUGCUUGUCACUAGGGCCCAAGUGCCAUGAUUUUAGAUCUGAACCUAUUAUGUUUUCAUCAAUAUAUGUGUGUUCUUGAUCCUAUCUUGCAAGUCUAUAGUCACCUAUUAUGUGUUAUGCUCCGACAACCCCGAAGUGACAAUAAUCGGGAUACUUCUCGGUGAUGACCGUAGUUUGAGGAGUUCAUGUAUUCACUAUGUGUUAAUGCUUUGGUCCGGUUCUCUAUUAAAAGCAGGCCUUAAUAUCCCUUAGUUUCCACUAGGACCCCGCUGCCACGGGAGGGUGGGACAAAAGAUGUCAUGCAAGUUCUUUUCCAUAAGCAUGUAUGACUAUAUUCGGAAUACAUGCCUACAUUACAUUGAUGAAUUGGAGCUAGUUUUGUGUCACCCUAUGUUAUAGCUAUUAUAUGAGGAAUCACAUCCGACAUAAUUAUCCAUCACUGAUCCAUUGCCUACGAGCUUUUCAUAUAUUGUGCUUCGCUUAUUCACUUUUCCGUUGCUACUGUUGCCAUCACUACAAAACACCAAAAAUAUUGCUAUUACUAUCUUUACCUUUUACCAUCGUUACCAUUACUAUCAUAUUACUUUGCUACUAAAUACCUUGCUGCAGAUACUAAGUUAUCCAGGUGUGGUUGAAUUGACAACUGAACUGCUAAUACUCAAGAAUAUUCUUUGGCUCCCCUUAUGUCGAAUCAAUAAAUUUGGGUUGAAUACUCUACCCUGAAAAGUUGUUGCGAUCCCCUACACUUGUGGGUCAUCAAGACUAAUUUUUGGCGCCAUUGCCGGGGAGCAUAGCUCUAUUCUCGGAGUCACUUGAGAUUUAUAUCUGUUGAUCACUAUGAAGAAUUUGAAAGACUCUAAAACCAAGAUCUAUCCCUCAACUACGAGGGGAGGUAAGGAACUGCCAUCUAGCUCUGCACUAGAUUCUCCUUCUGUUAUGAAUAAGCUUGCGACACCUAAGCCUGCUACUACUAUGAAUUCUGAUCUGUCGCAUGUUAUCGAUGAUGCCACUUCUGCUUUGCAUGAUACUUAUGAUGAAACUACUUCUGUGCGUGAUACUACUGUGCCAUUAGGUGAAUUUCUUGAUGAACAACUUGCUAGGGCUAGGGAGAAUGAAAUUAUUGAAAAUGCUAUUAUUGAUGAUAGUGAUGAUGAAAGAUCUCCAAAUGAUUAUGAGUUACCUAUUGUUCCUGAAGAUUAUGUUAUGAAUAAAGAAGCUGCUGAAGCUAUUUUUGCCUGCAAAGAUAGAUAUGAUCUUAAGAAACUAUUAGCUAAAUGGAAGCAUCAGUCUCUUAAUGCUAGAAUGAAACCUGACCCUACUUUUGCUACUUCACCUAUCUGUGUUGCUGAUAAGGAUUAUGAAUUCUCUGUUGAUCCUGAAAUAAUUACUUUGGUAGAAUCUGAUCCUUUUUAUGGCCUUGAAUCUGAAACUGUUGUGGCACAUCUUACCAAGUUGAAUGAUAUAGCUACCCUGUUUACUCAUGAUGAUAAAUCUCACUACUUUUAUAUCCUUAAGAUAUUUCCGUUCUCAUUAAAGGGUGAUGCUAAGACUUGGUUUAAUUCUCUUGAUCCUGGUUGUGUGCAUAGUCCCCAAGAUAUGAUUUAUUACUUCUCUGCUAAAUAUUUCCCUGCUCAUAAGAAACAAGCUGCCUUGCGGGAAAUAUAUAACUUUGUGCAAAUCAAAGAAGAGAGUCUCCCACAAGCUUGGGGGAGGCUUCUCCGAUUACUUAAUGCUUUGCCUGAUCAUCCACUUAAGAAAAAUGAAAACUUGAUAUCUUCUAUAAUGGACUAACUGAUGCUUCCAAGGACUACUUGGACAGUUGUGCUGGUUGUGUUUUCAGGGAAAGAACAGUCGACGGAGCUGAGUUACUAUUGAAUAAUAUGUUGACUAAUGAAAAUAAUUGGACUCUCCCGGAGCGAAUUCCUGAGGCAAUUCCUGAACCAAUUGAGCCAACUCCUGAGCCUAUUCCUAAACCCACUCCGAAGAACAGAGGUGUUCUAUUUCUCAGUCCUGAAGAUAUGCAAGAGGCAAAGAAAUCAAUGAAAGAAAAAGGUAUUAAAGCUGAAGAUGUUAAGAAUUUACCUCCUAUUGAAGAAAUACAUGGCCUUAAUAUACCGCCUGUUGAAGAAAUGCAUUGUCUUGAUAACUCGACACAGGUAGUAAAGGUAAAUUCUCUCUCUAUAUAUGAUAAAGAUGAAAUCCCAUCUACCAAAUUUCAUAGCCCUUGCUUAGAUGAAUUUGAUGAUUUCAUGAAUAGACAAGCAAAUUUUAAAGAUUAUGUUGGUAGACAAUUGAAGAAUAAUGCUUAUACGAUAGGACGCUUCAAUGAUUAUGUAGCUAGAGUUAAAGGUGAACUUAAACUCACUAGUAAACAUGCUUCCAUGGUUGCUACUCAAGCUGAACAAGUACUUAAGGCUCAGAAUGAAUUGCUUGCUGAAUUAAAUAAUAAAAAUGACUUUGCUGUUAGAGUGGCUACUAGAACUGGUAGAAUGACUCAGGAACCUUUGUAUCCUGAAGGCCACCCUAAAAGAAUUGAACAAGAUUCUCAGAAUAAUAAUCUAGAUGCUCCUAGUUCUUCUAAGAAGAAGAAAAAGAAGAAUGAUAGGACUUUACAAACUUCUAGUAAACCUAAUGUAGAAAUACCUGAGAAUCCUAAUAAUACUUCUAUCUUUGAUGCUGAAGCACAAUCCGGAGAUGAACAUGAACCUGAUGAUAAUGCUAAUAAUGAUGUUCAUGUAGAUGCUCAACCUAGUAAUAACAAUGAUAUAGAAAUUGAACCCGAUAUUGGUCUUGAUAACCCACAAUCAAGAAACCAACGUUAGGAUAAGAGAGAUUUUGUUGCUAGGAAGCAUGGUAGAGAAAGAGAACCAUGGGUUCAGAAAACCAUGCCCUUUCCUCCUAAACCAUCCAAGACAAAGGAUGAUGAGGACUUUGAGCGUUUUGCUGAAAUGAUUAGACCUAUUUUCUUACGCAUGCGCUUAACUGAUAUGCUUAAAACAAACCCUUAUGCUAAAUAUAUGAAAGAUAUCAUCACUAAUAAGAGGAAAAUACCUGAAACUGAGAUUUCCACCAUGCUUGCCAACUAUACCUUUAAGGGUGGAAUACCCAAUAAACUUGGCGAUCCCGGAGUACCCACUAUACCUUGCUCUAUUAAAAGAAAUUAUGUUAGAACUGCCUUAUGUGAUUUAGGAGCCGGUGUUAGUGUUAUGCCUCUUUCCUUAUACCGUAGACUUGAAUUAAGUAAGUUGACACCUACUGAGAUAUCCUUGCAAAUGGCUGACAAAUCAACUGCUAUACCUGUCGGCAUUUGUGAGGACGUGCCUGUUGUUGCUGCGAAUGUUACUAUCUUAACAGACUUCGUUAUUCUUGAUAUUCCCGAGGACGAUAGUAUGUCUAUUAUUCUUGGUAGACCCUUUUUAAAUACUGCAGGAGCUGUUAUUGAUUGCAACAAAGGCCAUGUCACCUUUCAUGUUAACGAAAAUGAGCAUACGGUACAUUUUCCGAGGAAGCAAAUCCAAGUUCAUAGCAUAAAUACUAUUGGGAAAAUUCCAUCAAUUAUUAUUGGAGGUUUUGAAUUUCCUCUCCCUACUGUCAAGAAAAAGUAUGAUAUUCUUAUUGUUGGGGAUUUUUAUAUCCCCGUUGAGAUGUUAAGGAGACUUUUGAGGGACUCUUCUAGCCAAGGCUCUCAGGAAAAACAAGCUAAAGAGAAGGAAAAAGCCAAGUAUAAUCUUCCUCGCUUAGCGGAAGUACGGCGUGUGAGUGGCCAUGUGAUAAUUUCUUGAAAGAAGCUGGAAUUCAUGAAGAUAUUUAUUCUUUGAUUGAGAGUGCAGGCCUCAACGAUUUCCUCCUCGACCGAAUAGAUCAGUAUCUCUUGCUUACCAAUACUUUCGUGCAAAUUUUUUAUUAUUAUCCUAAGAAGUCACCGCCUUCAGUAUCAUUUCAUUUAUAUGAUGAAGUCAGAGAAAUGGCUUUACAAGAUUUUUGGGCGGUAUGUAGGAUACCUUUUUAGGGAGAGUUAGAGGAACCCCAUCGUGAAGAUGUGGAGGGCUUUGUUAACACUAUAGUUGUAGAGGAGCCAAAGAAAGGUUCCGAGGCAAAAAUCUCUAGCAUACACUUUCAUGUUUUACGUUACUUUGCUAUAUUUGCUAGUAGAUGCUUGAUUGGUCGUGGAAAUAGUGGAAACUUUAAUGUUCCUGAUAUUAUCAUUCUUCAACAUGCCUUGUUUGGAGACAAUAGUUUUAGUAUGGGUGCCGUCAUUGCUAAACGGCUAAGCCUGAAUCAUACAAAAGGCCUCAUAUUUGGAGGUAUCUAUGCUUCACGUCUUGCUAGACAUUUUAGGAUACCUAUUAGGCAUUAUGAAAAGGGGGAGAGAUCCUGCCUUCGUACAUUUUAGAUUACAGGAGCAUGGUAGCACACAACUUUAUCGUUCAAAAUGAAGAUAAGACGCUCCUGUAUAACUUGAGAUUUAAUAAGAAACACAGUGAAACUAUUAUUCUGCCUGCACCCUUAUUGUUUGAUUUGACUGCAGAUAAUUUUAUUGUUACACCGGAGGCGGUGUAUGCUCAUCGAGGCCAAGCAUCCACUCUAGAAUCUGAACCUGAGCCGGAACCUGCACUGGACCCUUAUCGUGCAUCAUCUUUCAAGUGGGAUCUGGAGAUGGCCAGCCAGUGGUAUCUUGAUUAUACUUCCCAGUACACCGGGGAGAGUAGCAGUGGUCCUUGGCAUUAGACCAACUUAGGCCAAAAGCCUAAGCUUGGGGGAGUAUGUAUUUCUCACCGACUUUACAUUCAUGUUCACACACUAUAUUAGUCGUCGGUGCUCAUACUCUUUCAUUGUAUUAUCCAUGCUAGUUUAAUUUUAGUUUUCAAGUCUUCUUCUUGUGUGCUUGAUAAACCUUAAGAAAAACAAAAAAAAUAGUUAGCUUAAUUUCCAUGCUUGUAGUAGAAUUAAAAUGAAAAACCCAAAAAGAUUUCUCGUUCUUCUUUUACUUGUUGGGAGCUUUCCCGUGUAAAUAGCUUUAUUUUCUUUUCUUUCCUUUGGGGGUCGAGAAGACCAUAUUGAAAAUGUUUAGUGGCUCUCAUUUGCAUGAUUGUUUAUUUAACUUAGAGCCCAUAUUACUUUGUCUUCUCUCUUGAGUUGAAUGCUUGCAGAUUCCAGCUUAGUCCAAUGCAUGUGCACUAUUAUUAUUAUACACAUCGUUCGGUCGUGCAAGUGAAAGGCAAUAAUGACAAUAUAUGAUGGACUAUUGAGAUGAGAAAAGUUGGUAUGAACACGACCUCUCUUGUUUUUGUAAAUAUGAUGAGUUCAUUGUUCUUGAUUCAGCUUAUUAUGAAGUAAACAUAUUUGUAAUAACAUUUAGAGAUUAUAGUUGCUUGUGCCAUGCUUGAUUAGCUUUGAGUUAUAAUGGUUUACCUUGCAUGCCAACAUGCUAUUAGAAUGAUUAUGAUGUGGUAUGAUGGGACGGUAUCCUCCUUUUAAUGAAUUGAGUGACUCGACUUGGCACAUGUUCACGCAUGUAGUUGAAACAAAAUCAACAUAGCCUUCAGGAUAUUUAUGUUCAUGAUGGAUUAUAUCCUACUCAUGUUUGUACUCGGUGUGGAUUAGUUUUAAUGCAUGUUUAUGACUGUUGUCGCUCUCUCAGUUGGUCGCUUCCCAGUCUUUUGCUAGCCUUCACCUGUAUUAAGCGAGAAUACUGCUUGUGCAUGCAAACUCCUUAAAACCCAAAGUUGUUCCAUAUGAGUCCACUAUACCUUCCUAUAUGCGGUAUUUACCUGCCGUUCCAAGUAAAUUUGUAUGUGCCAAACUCUAAACCUUCAAAUGAAAUUCUGUUUUGUAUGCUCUAGCCGUUCAUGUUUCCACUAGGGCUGCCUAUAUCUUCCAUGCUAGGUGGGUUAUUCUCAGAGGAGUGGACUCUGCUCCUCAUCCACGAGAAAGGGCCGGUAACCGGGAUGCCAAGUCCCAUGAUCCAAAAAGAUCAAAACAAAUCAAAAUAAUUAAACAAAACUCCCCCAGGAUUGUUGUUAGUUGGAGGCACUCGUUGUUUUGAGCAAGCCAUGGAUUGAUGCUUGUUGGUGGUUGGGGGAGUAUAAACUUUUACCAUUCUGCGUGGGAACUGCCUAUAAUGCAUGUAGUAUGGAAGAUACAUCCAUCUCAUAGUUGUUGCGCUGACAGCAAAAGUAUGCCGCUCAAAAUGUUAUUCAAUCUCUAUUUUAAAAAUCGAGCUCCGGCACCUCUACAAAUCCCUGCUUCCCUCUGCGAAGGGCCUAUCUAUUUACUUUUAUGUUGAGUCAUCACCUUCUUAUUAAAAAGCACCCGCUGGAGAGCACACUAUCAUUUGCAUUCAUUAUUAUUGGUUUAUAUUGGGUAUGACUUGACUGGAUCUCUUUUACCAUGAAUUACAAUGUUUAGUUAGUCCUUGAUCUUUAAAGGUGCUCUGCAUUUAUGUUUUGCGGUCUCAGAAAGGGAUAGCAAGAUACCAUUUUUUUUCUAUCAUGUUAUGAUUAUUUCGAGAAAGUGUUGUCAUCCAAGUUUUAUCAUUAUCGCUCGCUAGCUGAUUAUGCCAUUGAUAUGAGUAAUUGUGAGACCUGAGUGUUAUUGUGAGUAUGGUUAUUUUAUAAUAUUGUUGAAACCUGAAUGAUGGCUUUGCAUGUUUACAACAACAAGAGCAAAUAGAGUUUGUAAAAGUUUUUCUUUAUCACUCUCAGUUUAUCAACUGAAUUGCUUGAGGACAAGCAAAGGUUUAAGCUUGGGGGAGUUGAUAUGUCUCCAACGUAUCUACUUUUCUAAACACUUUUGCCCUUGUUUUGGACUCUAACUUGCAUGAUUUGAAUGAAACUAACCGGACUGAUGCUGUUAUCAGCAGAAUUACCAUGAUGUUGUUUCAUGUGUAGAAAACAAAAGUUCUUAGAAUGACCUGAAAAUCCUCGGAGACAAGUUUUAGAAAAUAUAAAAAAUCCUCGCAAAAGAUGAAGACCAAGGGGCCCACACCCUGUCCACGAGGGUGGGGGCGCGCCCCCUCCCCCUGGGCACGCCCCCUGUCUCAUGGCCCCCCUAAGGCUCCGCCGACCUCAACUCCAACUCCAUAUAUUCCAUCUCGCGGAGAAAAAAAUCAGAGAAAAAGUUUCAUCGCGUUUUACGAUACGGAGCCGCCGCCAAGGCCUAAUCUCUCUCGGGAGGGCUGAUCUGGAAUCCGUUCGGGGCUCCGGAGAGGGGGAUUCGUCGCCGUCGUCAUCAUCAACCAUCCUCCAUCACCAAUUUCAUGACGCUCACCGCCGUGCGUGAGUAAUUCCAUCGUAGGCUUGCUGGACGGUGAUGGGUUGGAUGAGAUUUACCAUGUAAUCAAGUUAGUUUUGUUAGGGUUUGAUCCCUAGUAUCCACUAUGUUCUGAGAUUGAUGUUGCUAUGACUUUGCUAUGCUGAAUGCUUGUCACUAGGGCCCGAGUGCCAUGAUUUCAGAUCUGAACCUAUUAUGUUUUCAUCAAUAUAUGUGUGUUCUUGAUCCUAUCUUGCAAGUCUAUAGUCACCUAUUAUGUGUUAUGAUCCGACAACCCCGAAGUGACAAUAAUCGGGAUACUUCUCGGUGAUGACCGUAGUUUGAGGAGUUCAUGUAUUCACUAUGUCUUAAUGCUUUGGUCCGGUUCUCUAUUAAAAGGAGGCCUUAAUAUCCCUUAGUUUCCACUAGGACCCUGCUGCCACGGGAGGGUAGGACAAAAGAUGUCAUGCAAGUUUUUUUCCAUAAGCACGUAUGACUAUAUUCGGAAUACAUGCCUACAUUACAUUGAUGAAUUGGAGCUAGUUCUGUGUCACCCUAUGUUAUAGCUAUUACAUGAGGAAUCGCAUCCGGCAUAAUUAUCCAUCACUGAUCCAUUGCCUACGAGCUUUUCAUAUAUUGUGCUUCGCUUAUUUACUUUUUCGUUGCUACUGUUGCCAUCACUACAAAACACCAAAAAUAUUGCUAUUACUAUCUUUACCUUUUACCACCAUUACCAUUACUAUCAUAUUACUUUGCUACUAAAUACCUUGCUGUAGAUACUAAGUUAUCCAGGUGUGGUUGAAUUGACAACUCAACUGCUAAUACUCAAGAAUAUUCUUUGGCCCCCCUUGUGUCGAAUCAAUAAAUUUGGGUUGAAUACUCUACCCUCGAAAGCUAUUGCGAUCCCCUACACUUGUGGGUCAUCACAUGCCCCUUGCCUCGUGGGCCCCCUGGACCUCCACCAACCUCAACUCCAACUCCAUAUAUUCACGUUCGGGGAGAAAAAACAGAGAGAAGGAUUCAUCGCGUUUUACGAUACGAAGUCGCGCCAAGCCCUGUUCUUCCUUAGGAGGGCUGAUCUAGAGUCCGUUCGGGGCUCCGGAGAAGGGAAUUCAUCGCCAUCGUCAUCAUCAACCAUCCUCCAUCACCAAUUUCAUGAUGCUCACCGCCGUGCGUGAGUACUCCCAUCGUAGGCUUGUUGGACGAUGAUGGGUUGGAUCUUUAAUUUGAGCCGUGGAUCCUACUCUGGAACCAGAAAUACCCACAUUAAUAGCGUUGAUUUUUUUGCAUGUGGUCAAUGCGUUUGCUGAUUGAUAACUAUCUGAGAUUGACCAUGUAAUCGAGUUAGUGUUAUUAGGGUUUGAUACCUAGUAUCCAUUAUGUUCUAAUAUUGAUGUUGCUAUGACUUUGCCAUGCUUAAUGCUUGUCACUAGAGACCGAGUGCCAUGAUUUCAGAUCUAAAACUAUUAUGUUCUCAUGAAUAUAUGAGUGUUCUUGAUCCUAUCUUGCAAGUUAUAGUCACCUACUACGUGUUAUGAUCCGGCAAACCUCGGAGUGACAAUAGUCGGGACACUUCCCGGUGAUGACCGUAGUUUGAGGAGUUCAUGUAUUCACUAAGUACUAAUGCUUUGGUCCGGUAUUAUAUUAAAAGGAGGACUUGAUAUCCCUUAGUUUCCAAUAGGACCCCGCUGCCAUGUGAGGGUAGGACAAAAGAUGUCAUGCAAGUUCUUUUCCAUAAGCACAUAUGACUAUAUUUGGAAUACAUGCCUACAUUAUAUUGAUGAACUAGAGCUAGUUCUGUGUCACCCUAUGUUAUAACUGUUGCAUUAUGAAUUACAUCCACAUAAUUAUCCAUCAUUGAUUCAUUGCCUAAGAGCUCGUUUCAUAUUGAUCUUUGCUAAGUUACUUCUCCGUUGCCACUGUUACGAUUGCUACAAAACUGCUACUGUUAGUUUUUCCACCGUAAUUGUUACUUCCAUACUACUUUGCUGUAGAUAUUAAGUUUUCCAGGUGUGAUUGAAUUGACAACUUAGCUUCUAAUACUUGAGAACAUUCUCUGGCUCCCCUUGUGUCGAAUCAAUAAAUUUGGGUUGAAUACUCUACCCUCGAAAACUAUUGCGAUCCCCUAUACUUGUGGGUUAUCAAGACCUUAUUCUGGCGCCGUUGCCGGGGAGCAUAGCUCUAUUCUUUGAGUCACUUAUAUCUGUUGAUCACUGUGAGGAAUUUUAAAGAUCAAAGAACCAAGAUUUUUCCCUCAACUACAAGGGGAGGUAAGGAACUGCCAUCUAGCUCUGCACGUGAUUCUUCUUCUGUUUUGAGUAAACUUGCGACACCUACACCUGCUAUUGAUUCUGAUAUGUUGCAUAUUAUUGAUGAUGCCACUUCUGCUAUGCAUGAUGCUUAUGAUGAUACUACCUCUUUGCUUGAUAAUAAUGUGUCAUUGGGUGAAUUUCUGGAUGAACAACUUGCUAGGGUUAGAGAGAAUGAAAUUUCUGAAAUUGAUGAUAUUAAUGAAAGUGAUGAUGAAGAUUCUCCCCCUAGAUAUGAAUUGCAUGUUGUGCCCGCUGGUUAUGUUAUGGAUGAAGAAACUGCUAGAGACUUUCUUGCUUGCAAUGAUAGAUAUGAUCUUAAGAAACUAUUAGCUAAGCUGAAAGAAAAGUCUUUGAAUGUUAGAAUGAAAUAUGACCCUACUUCUGCUACUUCACCUAUCUGUGUUACUGAUAAGGAUUAUGAAUUCUCUGUCGACCAAGAGUUAAUUACUUUGGUUGAAUCUGAUCCUUUCCAUGGCUUUGAAUCCGAAACUGUUGUGCCACAUCUUACUAAACUGAAUGAUAUUUCCACCCUAUUCAAUCAUGAGACAAAAAAUCUUUAUUAAUAUAUUCUUAAAUUGUUUCCUUUCUUAUUAAAGGGUGAUGCUAAGAUAUGGUUUAAUUCUCUUACUCCUGGCUAUGUGCGUAGUGAUACGUCUCCAACGUAUCUAUAAUUUUUUAUUGUUCCAUGCUAUUAUAUUAUCCACCUAGGAUAUUUUAUAUGCUAUUUUAUAUGAUUUUUGGGACUAACCUAUUAACCUAGAGCCUAGUGCCAGUUUCUAUUUUUUCCUUGUUUCUCAAUUUUACAGAAAAGGAAUACGAAACGGAGUCCAAUUGACGUGCCAAUUUUUGAUAAUUUUUUAUGGACCAAAAGAAGCCCCUAAAGUAAAAGAGUUGGGCCAGAAGAGUCCCAAGUCAUCCACGGGGGUGGAGGGCGCGCCCUACCCCCUGGGCGCGCCCUAUCCCAUGAACCUAUGCAUAAGGGUUGGCACACGUUUUCGUCUUGACUCUUUGGUAGAAACUUUGGGGCACUCUUUGAAGUUCUUUGUGUUGGUUGAAUAGAUGAAUCUGAGAUUGUGUGAUGCAUAUCAUAUAAUCAUACCCACGGAUACUUGAGGUGACAUUGGAGUAUCUAGGUGAUAUUAGGGUUUUGGUUGAUUUGUGUCUUAACAUGUUAUUUUACUACGAACUCUAGGGCUGUUUGUGACACUUAUAGGAAUAGCCCAAUGGAUCGAUCGGAAAGAAUAACUUUGAGAUGGUUUUGUACCCUACUAUAAUCUCUUCGUUUGUUCUCCGCUAUUAGUGACUUUGGAGUGACUCUUUGUUGCACGUUGAGGGAUAGUUAUAUGAUCCAAUUAUGUUAUUAUUGUUGAGAGAACUUGCACUAGUGAAAGUAUGAACCCUAGGCCUUAUUUCGAAGCAUUGCAAUACCGUUUACGCUCAAUUCUACCACUUGCUACCUUGCUGUUUUUAUAUUUAUGAUUACAAAAACCUAUAUCUACCAUCCAUAUUGCACUUGUAUCACCAUCUCUUCGCCGAACUAGUGCACCUAUACAAUUUACCAUUGUAUUGGGUGUGUUGGCACUAGUAGAAACCGGAGCUUUAAAACCGGUUCGUAAGGGCCUUUAGUGCCGGUUCUGCAACCAGCACUAAAGGGUGGUGACUAAAGCCCCCCCUUUAGUACCGGUUCAGCACGAACCGCCACUAAAGGCCCACCACAUGGUGUGAGCUCGCGCCGUGGUAUGGGGGACCUUUAGUACCGGUUGGUGUUACCAACCGGUACUAAAGGUAUUUUUUUUUGAUUUUUUUUGAAAAUUUUGUAAAAAAUAUUUGUUUUUUUUUCGAUUUUCAAUUUUCUAAAUUAUUUGAUGAUUUAGUCUCUAAUCACCCCUCUUAACUGCUCAAGUGUGGAUCACUCAUUCCAAAUCGUCUAACUUCCCGGCCGGUCACCCAUCCUCUCACUCCCCCAGCCUGAGCACGCUUAACUUCGGAGUUCUAUUCCCCCUACUUUCCAAGUCUGCACUUGUUUAUUUCCUGACAAAUGUAAGCUGUCAAUCCUAUUAACCCUCAGCAGUUUAGCUUGAGCAUUAGGUCACACGUUUCACCGUUUGAGUUUGGAACUACUAUUCUAAAAAACAGUUAGUAACACUAAUAUUUCUUGAAUAAGUUUAACCACAGUUUAACCAUAGUUUGACCACAGUUUGACCAGAUUUGACCAAAAUUCAAAAAAUUGAAAUAAUUAUUUAGUAACACUAAUAUUCUUGAAUAAUUAUGUAGCAACAUUAAUACUUCUUGAAUAAGUAGUUUGACCAUAGUUUGACCAGAUUUAACCAAAAUUAGAAAAAAACUGAAAUUUGAGCAUAUCUUUUUUUCCUUUUGGAAUUUGAGGAUUCUAAAAAAUUGCAAACAAGCCGUAGGCGGUCAAAAUCGGAUGCGGAUUUUCGUGCUGAAUUUUUUGAUAUAUUAUAUGUUUUUCCGACAUCGUAUGCAAAAGUUAUAGCCAUUUUACAUUUUCCCUACACUUUUUGCAAAACAUGUCCAAAUUUAAGUUUUUUAACUUUCCUAACUAGUAGAUGUAGUAAUAUAACUACAUCUCGAAGAAAUAUAUUUUUUGAAUUUUUUUAUCAUUUUCUUUUAUAUUUUUCAAAAACUAAAAUGGCGGUACACGGGAGGGGGGUAGAGUUUGAAAAUUGCCCUAUAGUCCCAGUUUGUGUCUCCAACCGGGACUAUAGGUCAAACCCCUUUAGUACCGGUUCGUGGCAUGAACCGGUAACCGGUACUAAAGGUUAGCCCUUUAGUACUAGUUUGUGCCACGAACCGAUACUAAAGGUGAUCGCGGGGCCCCGGCCUGACGCCAGCCUGCCACCACCCCUUUAGUACCGGUUCGUGGCACGAACCGGUACUAAAGGUUCAAAAUGAACCGACAUUAAUGGAUAGCCGUUCGAACCGGCACUAAUGGUACCAUUAGUACCGGGCCAAAAUCGAACCGGGACUAAUGUGUCUCACAUUAGGUCCUUUUUCUACUAGUGUGGGGAUACAAGAGACUCUUUGUUAUUUGGUUGCAGGGUUGUUUGAGAGAGGCCAUCUUCAUCCUACGCCUCCCACGGAUUGAUAAACCUUAGAUCAUCCACUUGAGGGAAAUUUGCUACUGUCCUACAAACCUCUUCACUUGGAGGCCCAAAAACGUCUACAAGAAGAAGGUUGUGUAGUAGACAUCAAGCUAAUUUCUAGCGCCGUUGCCGGGGAGGCUAGGUAAGCGGCAGUAACACCCCGUCAACUAAGCUCUUUUCUGGCGUCGUUGCCAGGGAGGUUAGUGCUUGAAGGUAUAUCUUUAGAUCUUGCAAUCGAAUCUUUUUGUUUCUUGCUUUAUCACUAGUUUAGUAUAUAAAAAGAAAACUACAAAAAAAUGGAAUUGAGGAUGCCUCAUAUGCUUCAUCUUUUUAAUGUCUUUCGUGAAAAUAAGGAUUCCGAUAAUUGUGCCAAAGUGUUAGAAGAAGAAUGCAUUAAAUUGUUUGGCACUAAAUAUUUCAAUGAUGAGCAUGAUUGCAAUGUUGUUAGUAUCAAUUCCUUGAAUAUCCAUGAUGCUAAUGAUAUUCAAAGCCACAAGCUUGGGGAUGCUAUGUUUAAUGAAGAUGCUAUUUUUUGUCCCCCAAGUUUUGAUGAGAAAAAUUAUUAUGAUGAAAGCAUGCCUCCUAUCUAUGAUGAUUAUUGUGAUGACAUGUAUGCUAUAAAGAAUAAUGAUAACCAUGAAACUUGUCAUCUUGAUUUUAAUUUUCAAUUGGAUUAUGUCUCACAUAAUAGUUAUUUUGUUGAGUUUGCUCCCACUACUAUUCAUGAGAAGAAAUUUGCUUCUGUGGAGAGUAAUAAAAAUUCUAUGCUUAUGCAUCAUGAAAAGAGUGCUUUAUGUGAUGGUUAUAUUGUUGAAUUUAUUCAUGAUGCUACUGAAAAUUAUUAUGAGGGAGGAAUAUAUGCUUGUAGGAAUUGCAAUCAUAUCAAGUUUCCUCUCUUUAUGUUGAAAAUUUUGAAGUUAUGCUUGCUUUGCCUUCCUAUGCUAGUUGAUUAUUGUUCCCAUAAGUUGUUAGCUCACAAAAUCCCUAGGCAUAGGAAGUGGGUUAGACUUAAAUGUGCUAGUCAUAUGCUUCAUGAUGCUCCAAUUAUGUUUUAAUUCUUAUCUUUUAUGUGAGCAUCAUUGAAAUCAUCAUGCCUAGCUAAGGGCGUUAAACGAUAGCGCUUGUUGGGAGGCAAUUUGUUCCUGUUUAGUAAUAAAUAAUUCAUCUAGCCUCUGGUUAGAUGUAGUUUUAUGUUUUAGUUAGUGUUUGUGCCAAUUUAGACCUUUAGGAAAGCUUGUGGUGAUAGUUGUGUUGAUCCUGCUAAAAAUCAGAAACUUUUGCACUCAGUAAAUAAUUUCUAGUAUCUUAUUGAAAUGUGAUUCUGACCUGAUUCUUUUUGCUUUGGAUUGGUGCAAAAAUUUCUCAGGUGGAUCCAAUUUUUUAAGAAUUUUAAGAGUUACAGAAGUAUUCAAGAGUUACAGAUUACUACAGACUGUUCUGUUUUUUGACAGAUUCUGUUUUCUAUGUGUUGUUUGCUUAUUUCGAUGAAUCUAUGAGUAGUAUCGGAGGGUAUGAACCAUAGAGAAGUUGGAAUACAGUAGAUAUUACACCAAUAUAAAUAAAGAAUGAGUUCACAACAGUACCAAAAGUGGUGAUUUAUUUUCUUAUACUAACGGAGCUUAUGAGUUUUCUGUUAAGUUUUGUGUUGUGAAGUUUUCAAGUUUUGGGUAAAGAUUCGAUGAACUAUGGAAUAAGGAGUGGCAGGAGCCUAAGCUUGGGGAUGCCCAAGUCACCCCAAGGUAAUAUUCAAGGACAACCAAGAGCCUAAGCUUGGGGAUGCCCCGGUGGUAUCCCCUCUUUCGUCUUCAUUCAUCGGUAACUUCACUUGGAGCUAUAUUUCUAUUCACCACAUGAUAUGUGUUUUGCUUGGAGCGUCAUUUUAUUUUAUUUUGUUUUGCUGCCUGUUUGAAUAAUAUCCCAAGACCUGAAGUUCUUAAAUGUUAGAGAGUCUUCACAUAGUUACAUAAUUAUCCGACUACUCAUUGAUCUUCACUUAUAUCUUUUGGAGUAGUUUGUCGAUUGCUCUACUGCUUCACAUAUAUCUUUUUAGAGCAUGAUGGUAGUUUUAUUUUGAAGAAAUUGAUGAACUCUCAUGCUUCACUUAUAUUAUUUUAAGAGUCUUUUAGAACAGCAUGGUAAUUUUCUUGGGUCAUAGAACUAGUCCUAAUAUGAUGGGCAUCCAAGAGGGAUAUAAUAAAAACUUUCAUAUAAAGUGCAUUGAAUACUAUGAGAAGUUUGAUUCUUUAUGAUUGUUUUGAGACAUGAAGAUGGUGAUAUUAGAGUCAUGCGAGUGGAUUAAUUGUGAAUUUGAGAAAUACUUGUGUUGAGGUUUGUGAGUCUCAUAGCAUGCACGUAUGGUAAUCGUUGUGUAACAAAUUUGAAGCAUGAUGUAUCUCUUUGAUUGUCCUCCUUAUGUGUGGAGGUUGGGAUCGCGCGAUGGUUAACUCCUACCAACCCUUCCCCUAGGAGCAUGCGUGUAGUGCCUGGUUUUGAUGACUUUUAGAUUUUUGCAAUAAGUAUGUGAGUUCUUUAUGACUAAUGUUGAGUCCAUGGAUUAUACACACUCUCACCCUUCCACCAUUGCUAGCCUCUCUUGUGCCGCGCAACUUUCGUCGGUACCAUACACCCACCAUUUACCUUCCUCAAAACAGCCACCAUACCUACCUAUUAUGGCAUUUCCAUAGCCAUUCCGAGAUAUAUUGCCAUGCAACUUUCCACCAUUCCGUUUAUUAUGACACACUUCAUCAUUGUCAUAUUGCUUUGCAUGAUCAUGUAGUUCACAUCGUAUUUGUGGCAAAGCCACCAUUCAUAAUUCUUUCAUACAUGUCACUCUUGAUUCAUUGCACAUCCCGGUACAGCGUCGGAGGCAUUCAUAUAGAGUCAUAUUUUGUUCUAAGUAUCGAGUUGUAAUUCUUGAGUUGUAAGUAAAUAGAAGUGUGAUGAUCAUCAUUAUUAGAGCAUUGUCCCGUGUGAGGGAAUAAAAAAGAGAGGCCAAAGAAGCCAAUAAAAAAAAAGAGGCUAAAGAAGCCAAUCAAAAGAAAAUGAGAGAAAAAGAGAGAAGGGACAAUGCUACUAUCCUUUUACCAUACUUGUGCUUCAAAGUAGCACCAUGAUCUUCAUGGUAGAGAGUCUCCUAUUUUGUCACUUUCAUAUACUAGUGGGAAAUUUUCAUUAUAGAACUUGGCUUGUACAUUCCAACGAUGGGCUUCCUCAAAUGCCCUAGGUCUUAAUGAGAAAGCAAGUUGGAUGCACACCCACUUUGUUUCUUUUUGAGAUUUCAUACAUUUAUAGCUCUAGUGCAUCCGUUGCAUGGCAAUCCCUACUCACUCGAAUUGAUAUCUACUGAUGGGCAUCUCCAUAGCCCGUUUAUACGCCUAGUUGAUGUGAGACUAUCUCCUUCCUUUUGUCUUCUCCACAACCACCAUUCUAUUCCACCUAUAGUGCUAUGCCCAUGGCUCAUGCUCAUGUAUUGUGUGAAAGUUGAAAAGUUUGAGAACACUAAAGUAUGAAACAAUUGCUUGGCUGAAACCGGGGUUGUGCAUGAUUUGAAUAUUUUGUGUGACGAAGAUGGAGCAUAGCCAAACUAUAUGAUUUUGUAGGGAUAAGCUUUCUUUGCCCAUUUUAUUUUUAGAAGACAUAAUUGCUUUGUUAGUAUGCUUGAAGUAUUAUUAUUUUAUGUCAAUAAUUAACUUUUGUUUUGAGUCUUAUGGAUUUGAAUAUUCUUGCCACAAUAAAGAAGAUUACAUUGAUAAAUAUGUUAGGUUGCAUUCCACAUCAAAAAUUCUAUUUUUAUCAUUUACCUACUCGAGGACGAGUAGGAAUUAAGCUUAAUACGAAAUGGAGUCCAAUUAACGUGCCAAUUUUUGAUGAUUUUUAUGGACAAAAAGAAGCCCCCGAAGUAAAAGAGUUGGGCCAGAAGAGUCUUGAGCCGUCCACGAGGGUGGAGGGCGCGCCCUACCCCCCUGGGCGCGUCCCCUAUCUCGUGGAUGACUCGGAGACCCCCCUGACGUGAUACCGACGCCAAAAAUUCCUAUAAAUACAGAAACCCCCAGAAAUAAACCUAGAUCGGGAGUUCCGCCGCCGCAAGCCUUUGUAGCCACCAAAAACCUCUCGGGAGCCCGUUCCGGUACCCUGCCAGAGGGGGAAUCCAUCAUCGGUGGCCAUCUUCAUCAUCCCGGCGCUCUCCAUGAUGAGGAGGGAGUAGUUCACCCUCGGGGCUGAGGGUAUGUACCAGUAGCUAUGUGUUUGAUCUCUCUCUCUCUCUCUCGUGUUCUUGAUUUGGCAUGAUCUUGAUGUACCGCGAGCUUGGCUAUUAUAGUUGGAUCUUAUGAUGUUUCUCCCCCUCUACUCUCUUGUAAUGGAUUGAGUUUUCCCUUUGAAGUUAUCGUAUCGGAUUGAGUCUUUAAGGAUUUGAGAACACUUGAUAUAUGUCUUGCAUGUGCUUAUCUGUGGUGACAAUGGGAUAUCACGCGAUCUACUAGAUGUAUGUUUUGGUGAUCAACUUGCGGUUUCCGUGACCUUGGGAAUCUAUGCAUAGGGGUUGGCACACGUUUUCGUCUUGACUCUUGGUAGAAACUUUGGGGUACUCUUUGAAGUUCUUUGUGUUGGUUGAAUAGAUGAAUCUGAGAUUGUGUGAUGCAUAUCGUAUAAUCAUACCCAUGUAUACUUGAGGUGACAUUGGAGUAUCUAGGUGACAUUAGGGUUUUGGUUGAUUUGUGUCUUAAGGUGUUAUUUUACUACGAACUCUAGGGCUAUUUGUGACCCUUAUAAGAUAGCCCAAUGGAUUGAUCGGGAAGAAUAACUUUGAGGUGGUUUCGUACCCUACAAUAAUCUCUUUGUUUGUUCUCUGCUAUUAGUGACUUUGGGGUAACUCUUUAUUGCACGUUUAGUGAUAGUUAUAUGAUCCAAUUAUGUUAUUAUUGUUGAGAGAACUUGCACUAGUGAAAGUAUGAACCCUAGGCCUUGUUUCGAAGCAUUGCAAUACCAUUUACACUCACUUCUACCACUUGCUACCUUGCUGUUUUUAUAUUUUCAGAUUACAAAAACAUAUAUCUACCAUCCAUAUUGCACUUGUAUCACCAUCUAUUCGCUGAACUAGUGCACCUAUACAAUUUACCAUUGUAUUGGGUGUGUUGGGGACACAAGAGACUCUUUGUUAUUUGGUUGCAGGGUUGUUUGAGAGAGACCAUCUUCAUCCUACGCCUCCCACGGAUUGAUAAACCUUAGGUCAUCCACUUGAGUGAAAUUUGCUACUGUCCUACAAACCUCUGCACUUGGAGGCCCAACAACGUCUACAAGAAGAAGGUUGUGUAGUAGACAUCACGUAGUCCCCAGGAUAUGAUUUAUUACUUCUCUGCAAAAUAUUUCCCCGCCCAUAAGAAACAAGCUGUCUUAAGGGAAACAUUUAAUUUUGUGCAAAUUGAAGAAGAGAGUCUCCCACAAGCUUGGGGGAGGCUUCUCCAAUUACUUAAUGCUUUGCCUGAUCAUCCUCUCAAGAAAAAUGAAAUACUUGAUAUCUUUUUAUAAUGGACAAACUUAAUGUAAGUGCAUCUAGUGUCACCCCUAGUUGGUUUUGGAGUAUUGACGACAAACUUGGUUAAGGGACUAAUGUGUUUGUGAGAAUUGCAGGAUAACACAGGUACUAGUCCCAUACUGAUUCGGUUUACCUACCAGAGAUGACCCCUAAAAAUGUGUGAAGACAUUGAAGACAAUGGUGGUCUGUGAAGAUAUUCACAUUGAAGACUAUGACAAGAGAAGACAUCCCAUGAAGACUAUGGAGUGCGAAGACACAGUUGUUUCGUAGUUUCCUUUUCUUGUUUGUUGAGUCACAUUAUUUUGCCAAGUUUUACAACUCUCGUCUUUUGAUACAUUUGGUUCUUUGAGUUGUAACACUUAAACUUGAUGGUCGUCUACUACUUUUUCUGCUAUUCUGUGUUGCAAUAAUAAAUUCCGCAUGAAUUCAUUCUGCAGACGUCCAUUUUCCAUUAUGCAAUUCUUUAUCUUCAGUAUCUAUCUAUAUGCAUAAUGUAUUGUCUUCACACUUUGAAGAUGUCCUCCAUAAAGAAAAACCUGCCAUUUGCAUUUGCAUUCAAAAGCAAAUCGUUAUAUGCACAUCUUCAGGGGGAGCCUCGUCAUAUGUAUGAAGACAAUACUCACAACACUAAACUUUCACAUACUUUUAUCCCCGUUGAAAACUUCAACCAGUUUGUCAUCAAUCACCAAAAAGGGGGAGAUUGUAAGUGCAUCUAGUGCCACCCCUAGUUGGUUUUGGAGUAUUGACGACAAAAUUGGUUGAGGGACUAAUGUGUUUGUGAGAAUUGUAGGAUAACACAGGUAGUAGUCCCAUAUUGAUUCUGUUUACCUACCAGAGAUGACCCCUAAAAAUGUGUGAAGACAUUUAAGACAAUGGUGGUCUGUGAAGAUAUUCACAUUGAAGACUAUGACAAGAGAAGACAUCACAUGAAGACUAUGGAGUGCGAAGACAUAGUUGUUUCGUAGUUUCCUUUUCUUCUUUGUUGAGUCAUAGGAACCACCGUACUGUUAAGUGGGGUCCAAGUGAACAAAGUCAGAGUGACUGAAGUGAUGCUCUACCAAAUCCUAUAUCUUCGAGCGAAGACAAUCAGAGCAAAUCUUAUCUAGAGCUGGAUGAGUCAGCUUUGCUUGUAUCCCAAGCUAAGCUGCCGCGUGUGUUUGAAAUCUGACCGUUGGACACGUGUCAGUUCCUUAGUGACCCAGGGUCAUUUUGGACAAAUCAGGUCAGGUUGCCUUCUGGCUAUAAAUAGCCCACCCCCUACACCAUAAGUUGGUGGUUGCUCAGAUUUAGUACACGGCUUUUGUUGUUUGAGAGCAACCACCUCCGAAGCAUUUGAGAGAGAAUCCUUGCGAGGACAAACCCAAAACACCACGAGCCAAAGAGUGUUAGGCAUCACUGAAGCCUUUCUGUCCGCAUGAUCUAAAGACUUAUUACACUUGAGGACUGUGAAUCCUCUAGCCGGUUAGGCGUCACAUUCUGAGCAUCCAAGAGUCAUUGUGGAUUGCCGGUGAACAAAGUCUAUGAAGGUUUGGAAGUCUCCCUUGAGGACUUACAAAAGUGAUUGGGUGAGGACUAAGUGUUCUUAGCUCAAGGGGAAUAAGGUGAAGAUGCGGUCUUUUGAGUUGAAUCUCAGCCUCCCUAACCAGACAUACAGUUGUCACAUCAACUGGAACUAGUCCAACAAAUCCCUUGUCCUCUUCGAGCAACUGGUUCUAUCCUUCCUCUCUCUUUACUUACAGUUUGUCUUCGUGAAGUCUUUGCCCUCUUGCCUGAUCUGAUUGACUUCACAGUGUGAAGAUUGUGUACUAUUUGGCUUAUACUAUCUUCCAUCCUGAUCCACACUACCUAGCUGAUGAUAGUCUUCGUGCUUUUACUACAUUGCUUACUUGACUAUGGCCUGUCUAGUGUAGUCUACCUUCCGCUGCAUAUCAAUAGGUUCAUUUCUAUUGUUGGUCUUCAAAGCACUCAUGUUUUGAAGACUUUCAUAAAAAUCGCCUAUUCACCCCCCUCUAGUCGAAUACUAGCACUUUCAAUUGGAUUCAGAGCAAGGUGCUCCCUUGUUCUGUGUGAUUCGAUUUAACCAUCUGGAGUUUAGCUAUGUCGACUGCAGGGAUAAUCAAGGUCUCCGCCGCAUGCCCUGUCUUCGAUGCCACUGAUUACCCCUACUGGAAGAAUAAGAUGCGUAUGCCUCUUGAAGCCAUUGACGUCGAUCUUUGGUAUGUCGUCAAGAACGGCGUUCCCAAGACCGGUGAAGGUGUUACUCCUGCUGAUGUCAAGAAGUUCAUCCAACUAGACUCAACUGCCAAGAAUAUCAUCUGUGGUCAUCUGACCAAAAGGCAGUAUGGUCGGGUGAGUGCUCUGGAUACUGCGAAGCUAGUCUGGGACUGGCUCUCCAAGGUCAACGAAGGCAUCUCAACACAAAGAGAUUCAAGGAUCAGUGUUCUUCACAAUCUCUUCAACCGCUUCAAGAGAAAUGGCAAUGAGAAUGUCCAGCUCACAUUUGAUCGUCUCACUGAUAUCACGAACGAGCUUCAUGCUCUCAGCGCCACUGAGAUCACCAAGCAUGAAAUCGUCAAGACACUGCUGAGAUCACUUGACAGCUCAUUUGACACCUUGGCCCUGGUGAUUCAAGAACGCCCUGACUUCAAGACUCUCGAUCCAUCUGACAUACUUGACAGGCUCAACACACAUGAGUUCUAGCUAUCUGAGAAAAUAGAUAUCUAUGGUCCCAACUAUGGACGUACUCGCGCUUUGGAAAGGAGCGUGUUAUGCUUGUGAAUAAGUUCCAGAAGUUUGCCAAGAAGAUAGACUUCAGAAAGUUUUCAAGAUCCAGCUCUAGAAAUGAUGAAGCUUCAUCACGUGAUCCCAAGAAGAGAACCUGCCAUAAGUGCAAGAAACCUGGUCACUACAUCUCUGAGUGUCCACAGUGGGACAAUGAGACAAAGAAGAAGAAGAAGAGCAAGGAAUAUGAUUCUGAUGAAAAGAAGAAGAAGAAAUCCUCAAAGUCUUCUUCCAAGUCUUCGUUAAAGUCUUCAUCACACAAGAAGAGCUCAUCAAGCAAGGGUCACGCUUUUGUUGGCAAGGAGAUGGAUUCAGAGGAGGAGUCUGCAUAUGAGGAGGCAGAGGUGGAGUCUGAAGAGGAAUCUGAUUCUGGAGUAGCAAGCCUGGCUCUAGCUUCCGCAUAUGUCGCCAAGUCCAUCUUCAACACUGAAGACAAUGGCCUCAUCAACAACGCUGACGCCAAGAAUGAGGAUGACCCUGCUCCCACCUUCUGCUUCAUGGCACGUGGUGCCAAGGAUAUGACACCAAAGGCUUCAGAAUGGAUUAUGGAUAGUGGCUGCACCAACCACAUGACUGGUGAUCGAAGUCUUCUGAUGGAUUCAACUCUACGCCCGUCUGACAAAAGUCACAUCACAUUCGCUGACACUAGUAAAAGCAAGGUAUUGAGUCUGGGUAGAGUUGCAAUCUCAAAGGAUCAGCACAUGGAUAAAGUGAUGCUUGUUGAAUCCCUUGGUUUCAACUUAAUGUCUAUCUCAAUGCUUUGUGACUUGAACAUGAUUGUGAUUUUUGGAAAAUAUUGUUGCCUUGCGCUUUGGAAUCUGACAAGUCUCUAGUCUUUAAAGGGUAUCGAAAAGAUGAUCUGUAUAUGGUAGAUUUCUCAGCAGGACCACAGUUAGCCAUAUGUCUUCUAGCAAAAGCUUCAGAGUGCUGGCUCUGGCAUCGGAGGCUAGGACAUGCGGGUAUGAGGAACUUGUACACUCUCGCGAAGAAGAAGCAUGUCGUGGGCAUCGAGGGCGUCAAGUUCAAGAAGGGUCAUCUAUGUGGUGCAUGUGAAGCUGGGAAGAUGACUAGGGCCAAGCAUCCCUCGUAGACAAUCAUGACGACAUCACAACCCUUCGAGCUGCUUCACAUGGACUUAUUCGGCCCUACUCAUUACUCUACUCUUACUACCACUAAUUGUCUCUAUGGCUUCGUCAUUGUUGAUGAUUACUCAAGAUACACAUGGGUGCAUAUAAUCCUCUACAAGACUGAAGUGCAGGAUGUCUUAAAACAAUUCGCCAACCCUGCCAUGACAAACUAUGGCGUCAAGAUCAAGCACAUAAGAAGUGACAACGGCACAUAACUCAAGAACACCGGCCUCGACACCUAUCUUGAUACACUGGGCAUCACUCAUGAGUUUUCAGCUCCUUACACACCUCAGCCGAAUGGCAUCAUGGAGUGCAAGAACCCAACCCUCAUUGAGAUGGCUCGGACAAUGCUUGAUGAGGACAAGACUCCAAGGAAGUUCUGGCCUGAAGCUAUUGACACUGCAUGCCAUGUCACCAACCGUGUUUAUCUUCACAAGCUUCUAAAGAAGACAUCAUAUGAGCUGCUAACAGGUAAGAAGCCAAACGUCGGUUACUUCAGAGUAUUUGGUGCUAGGUGCUGGAUCAAGGAUCCACAUCACACUUCAAAAUUUGCACCGAAAGCACAUGAAGGUUUUAUGCUCGGUUACAGAAAGGAUUCGCACUCCUACAGAGUCUUCAACCUCUUUCACUAUAAAGUGGUUGAAGCUGUGGAUGUGCGGUUCGAUGAGACUAACGGCUCACAAAGAGAGCACCUGCCAAAUGUGCUAGAUGAAGUUCCUCCUAGUGAAUAUAUCAAGCUCAUGGGAACUCGAGAAAUCAUACCCUCAGAAGCUCAGGCUGACGACGAACUCAUCAUUGUACCAAGUCAACCUGAAGACAAUACUCAACCUCAAGUCAAUGCUAAAACUAAAGACAAUGAUAUGCAAGAGCAAAAUCUUCGUCCAGUUCAUCCCCGUGUUGCAAAUGAAGUACAUAUUGAGUAAUUGAUAGCAUCAAUGCACCUGGUCCACUCACUCGUUCAAGAGCAACACAACUAGCAAAUUUCUGUGGGCACUUUGCAUUUGUCUCUAUAUCUGAACCCAAGAAAGUUGCUGAAGCCUUUAUGGAACCUGAAUGGAUUCAAGCUAUGCAAGAAGAGCUUCAUCAGUUCGAGCUGAAAAAUGUAUGGGAACUGGUCAAACGUCCUGAUCCUCGCAAGCACAAUAUCAUUGGCACCAAAUGGAUCUAUCACAACAAACAAGAUGAGCAUGGUCAAGUGGUUAGGAACAAGGCUGUCUAGUUGCUCAAGGCUACACUCAAGUAGAAGGAAUUGACUUCAAUGAAACAUUUGCUCCUGUGGCAAGGCUUGAAGCCAUUCGCAUACUGUUAGCCUAUGCCAACCAUCACAACAUCCUUCUGUACCAAAUGGAUGUGAAGAGUGCCUUUCUCAAUGGCAAGAUUGAAGAAGAAGUGUAUGUUGCACAACCACCUGGCUUUGAAGAUCCAAAACAUCCUGAUAUGGUAUACAAGCUCAACAAGGCACUGUAUGGCCUCAAACAAGCUCCUCGCGCUUGGUAUGCCACACUCAAAGACUUCCUGAAGAGCAAAGGCUUCAAACCUGGUUCUCUAGAUCUGACACUCUUCACGAAGACAUAUGACAGUGAACUGUUUGUGUGCCAAAUCUAUGUGGAUGACAUUAUCUUUGGCUGCACUGACAAAAGAUACAGUGAUGAGUUUGGGCACAUGAUGCAAGAGCAAUAUCAGAUGUCCAUGACGGGUGAGCUGAAAUUUUUCCUUGGUCUUCAAAUCCGUCAGCAGAGCAAUGACAUCUUCAUAUCCGUCAGCAGAGCAAUGGCAUCUUCAUAUCACAAGAGAAAUACCUCAAAGAUUGUCUGAAGAAGUUUGGAAUGCAAGACUACAAAGGAUACAGAACGCCAGUGCCAACCAAAAGUCAUCUGAGCUUCGACGACAAUGGUAAAGAAUACGAUCAAAAGGUAUACCGCUCCAAGAUUGGUUCUUUACUUUACUUAUGUGCAUCUAGGCCAGAUAUAAUGCUUAGCGUUUGCAUGUGUGCUCGAUUCCAAGCGGCACCAAAGGAGUCACAUCACCUAUCCGUGAAGUGAAUACUUCGAUAUUUGGCUUACACCCCAACAAUAGGAUUAUGGUAUCCAAAGGGCUCAACAUUUGAUCUGCUUGGAUAUUCUGAUGCUAAUUAUGCUGGUGACAAGGUUGAUCGCAAGUCCACUUCAGGAACAUGUCACUUUCUUGGACGAUCUCUUGUCUGUUGGUCUUCAAAGAAGCAGAACUGUGUAUCACUCUCCACUGCUGAAGCUGUAUACAUUGCUGCUGGAUCGUGCUGUGCUCAGCUUCUAUGGAUGAAGCAAACUCUUAAGAACUAUGGCAUCAACACGAAGAAUGUACCACUCUUCUGCGACAAUGAAAGCGCCAUCAAGCUUUCCAAGAAUCCAGUUCAGCACAGAUGACAAAGCACAUUUUCAGAUCCAUUAUCAGUUUCUCAGAGAUCAUGUCAACAAAGAAGAUAUUGAUAUCAUUCACGUCAACACUGAAGAGCAAUUGGCAGCGGUGUGAGCUAAAUAUCUUAGAAUCCUCAAAUGUCAUGUAAUUGGACACACAUCCUAACGCUUGUGCAUGUUGACGACUUAGAUGUGCAACACACGAAGUAAUGUAUAUCUUCAAUCAAUGAAGACUUAUCCUCUAAGUGUGAAUACAUCAAUGUGGAAUUUGACUUCGGAGUGCCACGACACACACACACACACACACACACACAGAGACANNNNNNNNNNNNNNNNNNNNNNNNNNNNNNNNNNNNNNNNNNNNNNNNNNNNNNNNNNNNNNNNNNNNNNNNNNNNNNNNNNNNNNNNNNNNNNNNNNNNNNNNNNNNNNNNNNNNNNNNNNNNNNNNNNNNNNNNNNNNNNNNNNNNNNNNNNNNNNNNNNNNNNNNNNNNNNNNNNNNNNNNNNNNNNNNNNNNNNNNNNNNNNNNNNNNNNNNNNNNNNNNNNNNNNNNNNNNNNNNNNNNNNNNNNNNNNNNNNNNNNNNNNNNNNNNNNNNNNNNNNNNNNNNNNNNNNNNNNNNNNNNNNNNNNNNNNNNNNNNNNNNNNNNNNNNNNNNNNNNNNNNNNNNNNNNNNNNNNNNNNNNNNNNNNNNNNNNNNNNNNNNNNNNNNNNNNNNNNNNNNNNNNNNNNNNNNNNNNNNNNNNNNNNNNNNNNNNNNNNNNNNNNNNNNNNNNNNNNNNNACACACACACACACACACACACACACACACACACACACACACACACACACAUAUAUAUAUAUAUAUAUAGGACAAAUGUUUCCUACAAGCAGUGGUUGUUACCACCACUUGCGUUUUGUAUGUUGUAUGUAGUAUCUCUCGGAACCGAGAGUAUGUACAUGUAGUAUGUAGUAUAUAACAAUGAUUAGGUAGUAUAUAUACUAAUUUUUAGGUAGUAUGUGCCACUUUUUGAGUUGCUCAUUUUUACGUACAAAUAUAUACGUAUUUUACAAAUAUAACAAAAACUAUGGGCUCGUAUGCAAUUUUUUCAUGUAACUUGCUUUGAAAUAUCUUAGAUAUAGUAUAUAAACAUAUUUAAAAUAAUAAAAUAGUAUAUAUAGUACCACAUGGUAGUAUAUGAGACAUGUGGGGUAACUACCACCGGGUGGUAGGAUGGAUUUUCCCUAUAUAUAUAUAUAUAUAUAUUUGCGUGCUGUCCUCUACAACAUUCACUUAUACCUAUGUCUUCAUUCUUGAAUCUUUAUUGAUCUAAGUGAAUGUGAUUGGACCCUAACAUAUUAUGUGCUUCCACCUCAACUCUAUCUGUCCAAAUCAUAUGCAUUCUAUUGAAAACUGUCGAUUGUCUUCUCUGAGUCCUUGUUAGCAGAGGAAAAACUGACAAACAUUUAAAUCUGUUUAAUGAUGUAUCCUUAUUGCCUGAAAACUGGAGAAGCCAGAACGACCACCCGACAAUCCAGCCAUGCGUGAGAACAUGGAACAACUUUCAAUGAGUUGCAUGCAUGCCACGUGUCUCUCAGAUGUGAACUGCCAGGGGCACCUGCAUAAUUGCACCGCGCCGCCCUCCUCCUUAUAAAUAGUCACCCAUGCGGUCAAUAUCAGUUCUUCCAUCUCGCCACCUCGCACAAACCCUAGCGCCUCAGCUAGCUUGCGUCGACGCCGGAGACGAAGCGCUUAGCUGCCGCGACGUUGUCCUCACGCCGGUCGCGGACCUCGUCCUCUCCGCCGCCGCCGUAGGUGUCUUCCACCGCCAAGUUAGGGCGCGAGAGAUUGAACUGCUCGGCCUCCUUCAACAUCGUCUAGCAGUUCGUCCGUGGUAAAUAAAUCUUAUUUUUACUGCCUUUUUGAUCCGUCCAAUCCAUCCACUUCAACCAAAAGUGGUUUCUUCACUUCCAAAUCUGGAUUUAUUCUCUUCUGCAUCUCGUAUCAUGCCAAGUAUAUUCACUUAUGCUUCAUAACUAGUUAGAUUCCUCACUUGUACUUAUUCAUGGAUUCGUACAAAUCUAGAACCAACUCUCUCCAAAUAAGUGAAUGUCUUUGCACUAUGAGGUCGUCAAAAUCUUCCGAGAAUGCAUAUGACCUCUUCCGCUCCCCUCGCAUCUCUAAUGCUGUCACAGGUACAUGUCCGUGGGAGAAUCCCUUGGUUCUCAUAGUCUGCAUUCAUUUGCAGAAUUCCUACAGCGUCACAUUGAAUCACCUGAAGCCAGUUCUUGUUUGACCAGCAGGCGAAAUCCAUUCACUGUGAUAAGCCUAUCAGUCUGAAUAUUAUGGCUUUAGAGAAGUCUACACACAAGGGUGGCAGGAAACGCCCACACGAUCUGCCACCGAAUCUGUAUGAGCAGUACAAGUCUGAUCCUAAUGAAAACUACAAUCAGCGCAAGAACCAGAUUCAGUGGAUCCAAAGAUAUUGGGCCGAGGAAGGGUUCAAGUACAGGUUCUUCAUGCCAAAUAUGCCGAAAAGAAUGCCAUCAAGAGGCCAUGGGGUGACUGCCUCUACCGUGGCUUAGUGCCAAAGAGCAAGGGUGAAGCCAUUGAGCGGAAAUUCUAUCCGUGCAUGGUUAGAGGACCACAGCCUGAAGCUGCCGACCCAUCUUCUCUGUUAUGGUGUCGUGACGACAAUAUGUUCAAACGCAACUAUCAGUUUGCUAAAGAUUCAGCUGACAAGAACUACAAGGAGUUCGGGCUCAACUUCAACCCUGGCCCCUCCGCUCCAAGAUCUGAUGGGACAUGUGAAGCUAAUGAGAACAAAAUUGGCCCCUUUGCCAAUUUUGAUGGGCUUCUGUCUCACAUUGCUGCUCAAAGAGCAGCUGUGGAUCAAUCUGGUGGCGAAGCUAAUCUGAAGAUGCUCCCUCACCUCCAAAGGAGAAAAAGAUGAAGAAGACAAAAGCUGCCAAGCCAUCUUCUUCACCAAAAGCUUCAACAAGGAAGACUCUGAAGACUGCACCGCCUGAAUCCAGUGUGUAGUCCGAAGACUUAUCUCGCGUGUCCAAGAGGACCAAGAAGCCAUUGCCCAAGAAGGCCACUAGGCAACCUCUGACACUAUUUGUUGUUCUGCGCAACAAAGAUGAAGCCAUUGAUCUGUCAAGUGAUGAAGAUCUUGGUGAUGAUGCUCUGGAAAUGCUUAUCAAGAGCAAGCAAGAGGCUCAAAUCUUCAACGAUCUGCCCCUCUUUGAUGUUGAUAUUCUGAAUAACUUCUUCGAUGAGUGGUUCGACAACCAGGACAUCAAUAUUGAUGAUCUUCAGCUCCCUGUGGACAUCAGCAUCACCUUCCAUGGAGCCAUUGGUGGUGAAUUUGCCUUGGCUUAGAAGAUUGUUGAGCUGAAAAACAAGAUUGAUUAUGAGAAGGCUCACUUCAAGAAGAACAUGGACAAGCUCAGUGUGGAAGAUGUUCAAAUCUUCAAGAAGAUGUUGCAUGACCUCAAGGAGGAGUUCCACAAGAAGCGCACUGAAGCUAAAGGCUCACAAGAGCGCAUGAAGUAUCUCGCUGAGAAAUGCGUUCAAGCCCACAAUGAAGCUGAGAAGCGAAAAGCUCUUGGGCGCACUGGCAUCAACCCCAGGAUGGCUGCCAAGAAGAAGAAGCCUGCUGAGACCCAAACUGCUCCAAGGCAGGAAGAACCUCACAUUGUCUUCCCUGCAAGUAUGACAUGCUCGAAGCCUAAGGUCCUCUCAGCAGCUUCAGAGCUGAAGAAAACAAGGGCAGCUAAAGCCGAAGCCAAGAAGCGCAAGCACAAGGAUGUAUCUGACGAUGCUCCUUCCAAGAAGAAGCUGAAGACUAAGGGAACUAAGUCUUCAAAGAAAGAGCGUGCUGCGGCUUCUCUGCCUCUCAUUGUUGAACCCAUCUCAGUUGCUCCUCCUGCUGCCACCAAUAAGGCUUGGUGUGUUGUGAUCCACCAGCCUGCUUCCACAGAGGCUCAUGAAGAAGAAAUCAUUCCAGUUGUUGACCCCAACAUAGCUGAAGACAUUGCUCAUGAAGACAAUGUUGUUGAUGAUGAAGUCCUUCCUCAACUUGAGCACCACUUGGUAUCAUCGCCUGCUCCAACGGGUAGCGAUACAUCAACAUCGGUCGUCCAUUAACGCCAAUUGCUCAGGAUGAUUCAUGGGCUGAGCGCCCGCAAGAAGAAACCCCAGUUCAUGAUGAAACACCCCGCACUCCACCAGCGCAAGUCACCAAUCCAAUGGUGAAUGACGACAACUACAUGGAGACCACUCCAUCACCAAAAGCGUCGCCCGUGUUCCAACGUCUUCGCAAAGGUCUCAAGCCAUCUGUCUCCAUGUCAACCAUCCCAGAAGAAGAUUCACAACAAUCCAGUUCAGUGGCACGUCAAGUGUUCCCUGAAGAGAAUCCUUCUGUGACGGUUCCUGAGUCUGAAGCCAAAGCUAUUGAAGACAUUCCGACUGCAUCAGCCGAUGAAGAAGAAAGAGAAAGAAGAGAAGAAAGAGGUGCCACACCCCUGCCCUAAAUCAAGUCAUUCUUGAUGAGCAUGUGAUUGUGCAAGACCCUCCGGUCGUUGACCAAAUGGAGGUUGAGAAUAAUGAGGCUGCCACAAACACUGCUGAAGCCAAUGACCCUGUCUUGGCUGAAGAUUCUGUGGAGCCUGAAGCUAAUUGUUGUGCCUGAAGCCGAUGUGAAUCCUGAAGCUUCUGUGACGCCAGUCUCCAUUGACGGUGCAAUUCCUCCUCCAAGGCCUCACAUUAUGGAAACAACUUACAAUCGUGAGGGGGAGUUAGUCACUGUUCGCUGGCCGAUCCUGGUUCCUCCCACUAGUCCUGGACCCUAAUAUGAUUAUCAUGUGCAGCAGCAACCACAAGUACAGAAGCCAAAGCCCAGGUUGCCAAGGCUUCCAAGCGCUGCUACAACACCAGGAUCUUUCAGUGUCAACAGCUUCAGAGCACACAAUACCAUCUUUGACAGUGACAAGAAUCCCUACUGGAAGCCAAGGAUCUCUUCAGAUCGCUUCUGGAGCCAUCAACAUCGCAACUAUUACUCAUGUGUCCUCUACAAUCAAGAUCGAAUCUUCCCUCACAUGCGUCUUGAUUGUGAAGCUAUUGCUGGGCUUCCCUAUCUUGAAGAAGCUCUGGACUGCUUCCGGGAUGUUGGUCUUCUGUAAUUUGUCACUGCCAAAGAGCACUAGAAUGAAGAGCUACUGCUGCAGUUCUAUGCUACUCUUCACAUUCGUGGAUACAACCGGGAUUCGAAGACAUGGAUCCUCAAGUGGAUGUCAGGUGAUGUGCACCAUGAAGCUAAAGCUCAAGACAUCAUCGAGCUUACCUCCCUGCCCACUCCAGGUGAUCUGUAUGAGCCUGGUUGUCAGCAUCACAGAGAAGGACUACAUAGUAUAUUUCAGCAGCCUGAACCCAAUAUGAGUCAGAUGCUCAGCAUGAUGAAGCCAUCGCCUCAAGAUGCAGAAUAUCCCAAGGAAUUCCUUAUCCAGGACCUCGAGUACUUGCCCCACACAGUCUAUCAUAUCCUAAGGCGUACUCUAUGGCCCAUCAAGGGACAUUCUUCUGAAGCCAAACUUGAAGUCACUAUGAAGACUUUUGUAUUCUAUAUUGUCAAUGGCAUCAGAUUCAACUCCCAGGAUUUCUUCAUCCGACAACUUGCUACAUCUGGGAUUGAUCUGUUUGGCCUGAAGUUUUAUACUCCAUGGGUAAUGGGCCUAAUCAAACUUCAUUCUACUGUCAACUAUCAACCUUCUACACGCAACUAUCUUGUCUUUCUGCGUGAGGUUGAUCUAUCAGUUGAAGCCAUCUACCCCGAGCCUGCCAAGGAGCCGAUAUAUCUUCACAACACUGAUCAUCAAAGCUUCACGCAACCCAUAGAAGGCAUUCAUGUUCCAAAUGCUGCUAUUCCUGCCUAUCCUAUGGAUGGCAAUGUGUGUAUGCUUCAUCGAGCAAAUACUGAAGCCACUGCCAGUACAAUUGCUCAAAGGCCUCAAAAGCGUUCUCAUGUACUCAAUGACCGAGAGCUGCUUGUGGCCUUACAUCAGAACUAGGACAAGCACCACGACUGGCUGAAGCAUCAGAUGCAUAGUCUCUUGGUGGAUGUCAAUCGCAUUCGCAAUCGAGCCACCAAGAACUCAUUUGUUGCCCAUGAGAAUGCGCGAUGGUCCUGGAAGAGCCUCACUCGGCUGUGUUCCAAAGAUGAUCUUCGAGCAGAUGGCUUCACCGAAAACUUCAAGUUUGAUUCCAGGCCUCCACCAAAUGCGAGCUAGCGCCGCACUCCCUCACUUGAAGAUUCUGAGUAUUCAUUUUUGGCUGCAACUAUUGUUGCGAAUGUCGUCGAUGAAGAAGACAACGCCGCUUCACUGACCAUGGCUACACUGCAUCUCGACUCUGCUCCAGGCCAUCUGCACCACCAAACUCCAACGCCGACCCUGCUCCUUCUGGAAAUGAGUAGAUGCUCUAUAUCUUCAAACCUUUUUGGUCAUUACUGACAAAAGGGGGAGAAGCAUAUGAGUUUAUAGUCUUCAAGCGGGUCCUUAUGGGUGGUUGCAUUAUUUUGCCAAGUUUUACAACUCUCGUCUUUUGAUACAUUUGGUUCUUUGAGUUGUAACACUUAAACUUGAUGGUCGUCUACUACUUUUUCUGCUAUUCUGUGUUGCAAUGAUAAAUUCCGCAUGAAUUCAUUCUACAGACGUCCAUUUUCCAUUAUGCAUAUCUUUAUCUUCAGUAUCUAUCUAUAUGCAUAAUGUAUUGUCUUCACACUUUGAAGAUGUCCUCCAUAAAGCAAAACCUGCCAUUUGCAUUUGCAUUCAAAAGCAAAUCAUUAUAUGCACAUCUUCAGGGGGAGCCUCGUCAUAUGUAUGAAGACAAUACUCACAACACUAAACUUUCACAUACUUUUAUCCCCGUUGAAAACUUCAACCAGUUUGUCAUCAAUCACCAAAAAGGGGGAGAUUGUAAGUGCAUCUAGUGCCACCCCUAGUUGGUUUUGGAGUAUUGACGACAAAAUUGGUUGAGGGACUAAUGUGUUUGUGAGAAUUGCAGGAUAACAGAGGUAGUAGUCCCAUAUUGAUUUUGUUUACCUACCAGAGAUGACCCCUAAAAAUGUGUGAAGACAUUUAAGACAAUGGUGGUCUGUGAAGAUAUUCACAUUGAAGACUAUGACAAGAGAAGACAUCACAUGAAGACUAUGGAGUGCGAAGACAUAGUUGUUUCGUAGUUUCCUUUUCUUCUUUGUUGAGUCAUAGGAACCACCGUACUGUUAAGUGGGGUCCAAGUGAACAAAUUCAGAGUGACUAAAGUGAUGCGCACCCAAAUCCUAUGUCUUCGAGCGAAGACAAUGAGAGCAAAUCUUAUCCAGAGCUGGAUGAGUCAGGUUUGCUUGUAGCCCAAGCUAGGCUGCCGCGUGUGUUUGAAAUCUGACCGUUGGACACAUGUUAGUUCCUUAGUGACCCAAGAUCCUUUUGGACAAAUCAGGUCGGGUUGCCUCCUGGCUAUAAAUAGCCCACCCCCUACACCAUAAGUUGGUGACUGCUCAGAGUUAGUACACGACUUUUGUCAUUUGAGAGCAACCCACCUCCAAAGUAUUUGAGAGAGAAUCCUUGUGAGGACAAAGCCCAAAACACCACGAGCCAAAGAGUGGUAGGCAUCACUGAAGUCUUUCUGUCCGCGUGAUCUGAAGACUUAUUACACUUGAGGACUGUGAAUCCUCCAGCCGGUUAGACGUCACGUUCUGAGCAUCCAAGAGUCAUUGUGGAUUGCCGGUGAAUGAAGUCUGUGAAGGUUUGGAAGUCUCCCUUGAAGACUUACUAGAGUGAUUGGGCGAGGACUAAGUGUUCUUAGCUCAAGGGGAAUAAGGUGAAGACGCGGUCUUCUGAGUUGAAUCUCAGCCUCCCUAACCAGACGUACAAUUGUCACAGCAACUGGAACUGGUCCAACAAAACCCUUGUCCUCUCUGAGCAACUGGUUCUAUCCUUCCUCUUUACUUACAGUUUGUCUGCGUGAAGUCUUUGCCCUCUUGCCUGACUUCACAGUGUGAAGACUGUGUACUUUGGCUUCAUACUAUCUUCCAUCCUGAUCCACACUACCUAGUUGCUAAUUGUCUUCGUGCUUUUACUACAUUGCUUACUUGACUAUGGCCUGUUUAGUGUAGUCUACCUUCCGCUGCAUAUCAAUAGGUUCAUUUCUAUUGUUUGUCUUCAAAGCACUCAUGUUUUGAAGACUUUCAUAUAAAAUCGCCUAUUCACCCCCCUCUAGUCGAAUACUAGCACUUUCAUUGAUGCUUCUAGAGACCACCUGGAUAGUUGUGCUGGUUGUGUUUUCAGGGAAAGAACUGUUGAGCAAGCUGAAUUUCUAUUGAAUAAUAUAUUGAGUAAUGAUAAUCAUUGGACACUUCCUGAACCAACUCCUAAGCCAACUCCGAAGAAAAGGGGUAUUCUAUUUCUCAGUCCUGAAGAUAUGCAAGAGGAAAAGAAAUCUAUGAAAGAAAAAGGUAUUAAAGCUGAAGAUGUUAAGAAUUUACCACCUAUUGAAGAAAUACAUGGUCUUGAUAACUGACACAGGUAGUAGAGGCAAAUUCUCUCUAUUGAUUUGAUAAGCGUGAAACCCCAUCUACUAAGUUUGCUAGCCAAUGCUUGGAUGAGUUUGAUAAUUUUAUUGUUAAGCAAGAGAACUUCAAUGCUUAUUUUGGUAGACAAUUGAAACGUAAUGCUUAUAUGGUUGAGCACUCGAGUGAUUAUAUGUCUAGAGUUAAAGGUGAUCUUAAACUUAUUAGAAAACAUGCUUCUAUGGUUACCACUCAAGUAGAACAAGUACUUAAGGCACAAGAUGAUUUGCUCAAAGAGUUAAAUAAUAAGAAUAAUGAUAAUGUUGUUAGAGUUAUGACUAGAGGUGGUAAAAUGACCCAGGAACCUUUGUAUCCUGAGGGCCACCCUAAGAGAGUUGAGCAAGAUUCUCAGAGAAUUAAUACUGAUACACGUAGUCCUUCUAAGAAAAAGAAAAAGAAUAAUGAUAGGACUUUGCAUGCUUCUACUGAACCUAUUAUAGGCACACCUGAGAAUCCCAAUGAUAUUUAUAUUUCUGAUGCUGAAACACAAUCUGGUGAUGAAAACAUGAACCUAUUGAUAAUGUUAAUGAUGAUGUCCAUGUUGAAGCUCAAUCUAGUAAUAAAAAUGAUGUAGAAAUUGAACCUGUUGUUGAUCUUGAUAACCCAUAAUCAAAUAACCAGCGUUAUGAUAAGAGAGACUUCGUUGCUAGGAAGCACGGUAAAGAAAGAGAACCAUGGGUUCAAAACCCAUGCCUUCUCCUCCAAAGCCAUCCAAGAAAAAGGAUGAUGAGGAUUUUGAGCGCUUUGCUGAAAUGAUUAGACCUAUCGUUUUGCGUAUGCGUCUGACCAAUAUGCUUAAAAUGAAUCCCUAUGCCAAGUAUAUGAAAGAUAUUGUUACAAAUAAAAGAAAGAUACCGGAAGCUGAAAUUUCCACUAUGCUUGCUAAUUAUACUUUUAAGGGUGGAAUACCAAAGAAACUUGGAGACCCAGGAAUACCAACUAUACCAUGCUCCAUUAAAAGAAACUAUGUUAAAACUGCUUUAUGUGAUCUUGGAGCCGGUGUUAGUGUUAUGCCUUUCUCUUUGUAUCGUAGACUUGAUUUGAAUAAGUUGACACCUACUGAAAUCUCUUUGCAAAUGGCUGAUAAAUCAACUACUAUACCCAUCAAUAUUUGUGGGGAUGUGCCCGUUGUGGUUGCAAAUGUUACUAUCGUAACGGACUUUGUUAUUCUUGAUAUUCCUGAGGACGACAGUAUGUUGAUCAUCCUUGGUAGACCCUUUUUGAAUACUGCAGGGGUUUUCAUUGAUUGCAACAAAGGCAAUGUCACUUUUCAUGUUAAUGGUAAUGAGCAUAUAGUACACUUUUUGAAGAAACAACCACAAGUUCAUAGUAUCAAUUCUAUUGGAAAAUUUUCAACUAUUAUUAUUGGAGGUUUUGAAUUCCCUCUUCGUACUGUCAAAAAGAAAUAUGGUAUUCUUAUUGUUGGGGACAUGCAUAUCCCCGUUGAGGUAACCUAGUUUUAUUCAAAAAUUCUCUGGUUUCAUGUUAUUCGGAAGAAGUUUGUUAACAAGACUUGACCAACCUUGUUAGUGGAUUCCUUUUGAUGAACAUGAGAUGGAUGAAGUUAGAAAGCACAACUCUCUAUACCCCCUUUUUACUUUCUUUUAUUUAGUAUAAAUAAAGCAAAAAUAGUAUUUUCUGUCUGUUUUCUAAAUUAUCUGUGCAAUAAAAAAUACCCAAAAAAUAAAAGUACUCCAAAUGCCCUGAAAAUUGAGGAUGACUUUUUGUAGAAUAUUUGAGAAUUUCUGGCACUUAGAACACACCAGGGGACCCACCAUUUGGUCAAGAGGGUGGAGGGCGCGCCGUACCCCCCUGGGCGCGCACCCCUGCCUCAUGGGUCCCACGUGCCCCCCUCCACUUAUUCCAGCACCCACACACUUCUUCUUCCUCCAGAAAAAAUCACCCCAUAGCUCAAACUCGUGUUCUUGCUCGUUUUGCUGCCAUUUUCGAUCUCCUUGCUCAAAGCUCCAUUCACAAAACUGCUUUGGGGGAUUGUUCUUUGGUAUGUGACUCCCCCAAUGGUCCAAUUAGUUUUCGUUGUAGUGCUUUAUUUAUUGCAAAUCUUUGCUGCUAAGGUGACCCUAUUCUUGAGCUUGCAUGUCAAAUUUAUAUGGUUCAAAGUAGUUUUGAUGCAUGAUAUAGUCUCUGGGCACUUGUGGGAGUAGUUGCUAUCAAUCUUGUUGAGUUUAGUUCACUUUUAUUUUGAGUCACUAAAAAUUUCAGAGGAAGAAAAUGUUGAAGAGGUUGUUGAGAGGCUCCUCGAGCCGAAGUUUGAAGGAAAAGCAAAAUGAAGAGAACAAAAAGCCCAAGUACGACCUUCCCCGCACCACGGAGGUUCGACCGUGUGAAUGGCCAUGUGAUGCAUUCUUGAGGGCAGCCGGAAUUUAUGAGGAUUUCUAUUACUUAGCUGAGAAUGCAGGCAUCACCGACUUCCUCCACGACCAAUGCAAACAGUAUCUCCUACUCACUAAUAUUUUUGUGCAAAACUUCCAUUUCCAUGCUAGGAGAUCACCACCUUCUGUAGAUUUUUACUUAUAUGAUAAGUUGAAGGAGAUGUCACUCUAUGAUUUUUGUGUGGCUUGCAAGUUGCCCUUUGAGGGCAACGUCGAGGAACCACAUCCUAGUGAUGUGAAUAAAUUAUUGAUAAAAUUGUUGUAGGGGAAACAAGAAAAGUGUCAGAUGCAAGAACUACUAGUGUAUAUUUUCCUGUUCUACGUUACUAUGCAAUAUUUGCUAGUAGAUGUUUAAUUGUCGCGGGAACAAUGGAGGCCUCGGUGCUCCUGGCCUUGCCAUUUUGCGCCAUGCUUUACUUUGUGAUAGAGCUUUUAGUUUAGGCGCUAUGGUUGCUAAAUGGUUGAGUCUAAACCAUACAAAGGGCCCCAUUUACGGAGGUAUCUUUUCUUCGCGUCUUGCUAAAUAUUUUGAGAUACCCAUUAGGCAUUAUGAGAAAGAGAAAAAGGUGCUGCCCACUAUUUUCUUAGACUAUAAAAGUAUGGUAGCACAUGAUUUUAUUGGUAAUGAUAACAAGAAGAGACUUAUUUAUAACUUGGUAUUCAGUAAAACUACUUGUUAGACUAUUACCUUGCCUGCACCUUCUUUGUUCAACAUACAUUCAGGCACAUACCUCAUCCUACCCGAUGACAUUUAUGCAUACUGGGAGCGGACACGGUCCCCAGAUCCUGAGCCAGAGCUGUCUCCUGAUUCAUAUCAGGAGUCUAUUUAUUAGUGGGAUCCGCAGGAGCUCGCUAAUCAGUGGCACCCCGAGGAUCCUCCUCAGUACACCGGAGAGGACCACUUUGAUCCAUGGGCAUAGACCAACUUAGGCCAAAAGUGUAAGCUUGGGGGAGUACGUAUUUCUCGCCGACAUUACAUUCAUGUUCACACACUCAUUAUAGUUGUCAGUGUUCAUACUUUUUCAUUCUAUUAUCCAUGCUAGUUUAUUUUCUUUUCUUGCUUUCUUCUUGUGUGUUUGAAAAACUUUAAGAAAAACCAAAAAAAAUAA